GCCAUUCCCAAAUCUUUGGAAAAGCUUUCACAUCUAAAGUAUUUUAAUGUGUCUUUCAAUAGACUUGAAGGGGAAAUUCCCAGCAAAGGAUGUUUUUCAAACUUUUCUAGCACAUCAUUCAUGAAGAAUUAUGCACUUUGUGGUCCACCUAAAUUGCUAGUCCCACCUUGCAAAAACGACAUCCACAAAAACUCCCAAAUGAUUAUAUUGCAUGCUUUUAGGUAUGGUUUACCAACAAUUGGUAUUGUCGUAGUACUAAUAGUCUUAACUAUUAUGUAUAGAAGAUGCCAAAGGAGAAGUACAACUCUAACAACUAAAGAUGAUUUGUUGUCUUUGAAAACACCGAGAAGAAUUUCACACGCUGAACUUUCACGAGCAACUAAUGGAUUUGAGGAAAGCAAUAUGCUUGGUUCAGGGAGUUUUGGAUAUGUAUAUAAAGGGAGGCUUUCAGAUGGAAUGGAAGUUGCAAUAAAAGUUUUCAAUUUGCAAACAGAGGGAGCAUUUAGGAGUUUUGACAUUGAAUGUGAUGCUAUGCGUAAUAUAGUUCAUCGUAAUAUUGUGAAGGUCAUUACUUGCUGCUCAAGUGUUGACUUCAAAGCCUUGGUGCUUGAUUACAUGUCUAAUGGAAACCUUGAGAAAUGGUUACAUUCUGAAAAUUGUUUCCUUGAUAUCAUACAAAGGGUCGACAUAAUGAUAGAUGUUGCGGUAGCUAUAGAACACCUCCACAAUGGACAUCCAGCACCUAUAAUUCAUUGUGACAUAAAACCAAGCAAUAUUUUACUAGAUGAAGACAUGGUUGCACAUGUUGGAGAUUUUGGCGUUGCCAAAUUGUUGGGAGAAGGUGAAGUAAUGAAGCAAACCAUGACUCUUGCAACUAUCGGGUAUAUGGCACCAGGUGGAUUAUUUUUUAUUUUUGUAUGAUUUUUUUCCGAAUUUCCAUUUUAUAUUUUUGUUUCAUGUGGAUGUGGAUAUAUAUUUGAAUAAGCAUUUUAGAAAUAAUUGAGGAUGAAUGAUGUUCUAAUUAUACUUGAAAUGCAGAAUUUGGAUCAGCAGGAAUUGUUUCUAUAAAAUCUGAUGUCUAUAGUUAUGGGAUCGUCCUUAUGGAAACUUUCACAAAGAAAAAGCCAACUGAUAAUGCUUUUGUUGAAGAAGAGACUAUGAGGCAUUGGAUGGAAAGUUCAUUGCCUAAAGGAGCGAUAGAAAUUGCAGAUGUUGAUUUAUUAAGAAGAGAGGAUGAGUACAUUGUCGUUAAAGCAAAUUGUAUCUCAUGUAUCAUGGAGUUGGCUUUGAAUUGUUCAGCUGAGUUACCAGAAGAAAGAAAAGAUAUGAAAGAUGUUGUGGUUGAGCUGAAGAAAAUCAAACAAAGGUUGCUAAACAACAUCCAACAUUUUUAACAGAGAUGGUGAGUAAUGAGUACACCUAAUUUUAUCUUUAAUUCAACAUUUUUAAUCUAUUCUGGAAUUUUAAUCAUAUAUAUAAUAUGUACUAUUUUUUUUUCUUUUGCUCUCACGUACUAGGCUCUCUUCAAAUUUCAAACUUCUUUUACAAAAUCAAAGUGGAAACGAAUAAAAUGAGCAACAAGCCUUCCCAUGAAUUACGGUUUAUGGUAACUUUUGGACAUCAAGAUAUUUUCUUUGUUAGAUUGGAUUUUCUUAGUUUCUUCUUUCAUUUACAGUAUAAUUUUAUUUUAAUCUUUUGCCGAAGAUUUUAUUAGGGGCGAAGCCAGGAAAUCUUUUUAGGGGGUGAAAUUAAAUUGUAAUUUUUACGAGAAAAUACAAUUUCACCAUUUUUAAUAGCCUAUAUUUUUAUAAUUUUUAAAGGAUUAAUUCAAAGUUUUAUCAUUUUUUGGGGGUCAAAGUACACUUUUACGUUUAUUAAUUUAAAAUUUUAAAAAUUUUAAAGGGCCUAAAUGGAAAAUUUUUCAUUUUCAGGGGGGUCGGGACCCCUGCCAACUCCCCUAGGGACGGCCCUAUUAACAAAGCCCUCAACAAAUGGUAUUGUUCUCAUGUUAGGGUUUUGUCUCUUCAUUCCGCUAAGAGCCCUAUGGGUUCAUGGAGAUGGUUGCAAGGUAAAGGCUACACAUGCAUUGGUUGGUAGUUUGAAUCCCUACGCACAUAUCCUCAAUGAUUAUUCCGCAAAGGCUGGGGAUAAAAUCCCGACAUGGGGACACUACCAUUAGUUGUUGAGGGCAGCACCGAUUGCCUAGCAAACAACACUCAAGAGACUUCUCCUAAAGGAGUCGAUCUCCCUCAACAAAAGUCAAGUACAAGGUCUAUUAUGGGUGAUUGUAGUUUAUCCAAUCGAUGACUGUUUUCAAGUAUUUUCUAACUCUUUCUCUUUAUUUUCUUCUAAAAUUUUCAAUUCAAAGACAAGUAUAACACAAUGGUCUUAAUUGAGCUAGCUUGCCUUGUCAGGUAAUUUGUUGCUUUCCAUUUAUUUAGAGUUAUUUAGAGUGUUUUGUAUUUAAUAUUGUCAUAGUUGAAAGUAUCAUUCAUAAUCUAAUCUAAUUGUGUUUUUGACUAGUGGUUGUUGAUCAAGGAAAACUAAAGGAGGACAACAAGAAGAACGAAACUCCAUAUCUUUACUAUCAUGUUCUACAAAACAAAGAGACUUUUUUCUCGAUGAAAUUUGUAUUGGGCUAUCAAUGUUUCAUGGAUUAUGUUAUUUUUCAAAUGUAAGAGGGGGUUUUGCCAAUAUUGCAUGCAAAAUCAAAGUAAUAUUUGCCAAUGCUUAGCUUAAUCAACUCUAAUGCUGCUGUGGAUUUGAUUUGUCUUUACAGUAUUUAGAGAUUAUUUUGUGAAUGUUAAAUUGCCUUUGGGCCUUUCAAAGGAAUUCAGCAAGCCUACAAGUCAUUUAAUUACCUUUGGACCUCCCAUGAAAUUUUUAUGUAUGAAACAUACAAUAUAUGGCUUGAAUUUCAUAAUUAUAUUAUAUAUAAUGAAUCAUUUGUUUCGUGUUCACCCUCUCCACCAAAAUAACCAUUAACAUCAUCAAAAUCACCCGUAUGAUUCCAAGGUUUCUUGUCUUGUCUAAACAUGUUUUUUUCUUUUAUAUUUUGUUAAUAAAAAAUAUAAAUUUAUUUUAAACUUUCAAAAACUUAUAAUUUAAACCUCUAAAAUAGAAAUUUUUAUUCGUCAAACUUCCACAAAUACAAACCUAUAUAUUAUUGUUAAUCCAAAUCGAAUAUUGGGUUUAGGGUUGAAGCAAAUUUAAAGAGGCAUACAGAGGUAUUGGCCCAACCAAAAUGGGAAAAAAAAUUCUAUUAAGAACCUUUAAAAAAUAAUAAAUUAAUACAUGAUAACUUCUUAAAAUUUUAUAAUUUAAUUCUAAUUCUUCUAUUUUUAUUUUUUUUUAAGAUUCGCCCCUAUUCAAAGCUUCAAGCGUUAUUUGGUUUGGUAGUAUAGCAUGGUUGUUGGAAAAUUAAGUGGAUUAAUUUAUUUCAUAUUUUUCAGUCCCACUCGCAUCUAUGUGAUAGCUCCAGUCUCUACAUGUCCGUGCCACUUACCCACAUGCCCGUGUGGGUUUUGGGGUUUUGAAUUUUUGUCUUCUUAAAUUGGUAUUCUAAUUUGUUUAAGUUACAAUUUAGUCCUUAAUAAUAAAACUUGAAUUAGACAUAGUAACCGUACUCAAAUUAAGCUGAAAAUUUUAGGCUUGCAUAGUUUAACUAAAAAAAGGUUGGUAAACACUUAGAUCUAAAAUCGGGUUAGUUUUACAAUAGGUGGUAAAAUGACGAAAUUACCCUUAGGUUAAAUUACAUAGGAAAAUAUUAAAAUUGGCUCAUAAUUUACUUCUGCAUUAAUAAAUAACUAAUAAUUAAAUAAGAUUGAGGUGUUAUAAGGUUGGGGUGUGUCUCGGGUGGUUGUUAGCUGGAGAAUCACUUAGGUGGCUGAUGUAAUACUUCAAAUUCGAGUCGGUCUAUCUCGAUCGGGUUUGGGGUGCCACAAUCUAUCAUAGGGUUCAUCUCUCUUAAGUAUUUAGAAAAUUAGUUCAUGCUUAAAAAUAAAAAAAAUCCAAAAGGGAGUAUGUAAUAGGCCCAAUUUGCCCGUGCCCAAAAGCACAAACAAAAAAUAAACCAAUUAUAAAAGCAAAUAGAAUUAAAAUACCAGACCUGUGCGUGCAUCACCACCAAGCGCGUGCAACCUUCUCCACACGAGUGCGCCUCCGUCAGUUGUUCCAGGCUGGCCAAGUACCUGCAAAUACACAUAAAAAUAACAGCCGCGAAAUAACAGAAAAGGAGAACGGAUUGGAUUUUUAGAUUUUUAUUUGUAUUAUUAUCUAUUCUGCAAAUUUCGGCUAUAAAAAGCCAGUGGAAUACUGUAAACGGGUUACGCAUACAUAGGAAAAGAAAUCAAAAAAUAAGAUUCAGAGAAAGAAAAGUUUAAAGGUGAUUUUGAAAUCAUACAUUUGUUUCUGUCGUUUUUUUCUCUUUGUUUCCUCGUUCGAGUUCUUUGUUUCUUUGUGAUUGUUUGACUCAUUGUUGUUAAGUAAAAGUGUAGAUUCAAGAAUCAAAAGAAAAGGGGUUACCUAGUUGCGAGAUCCUGGCUCUCUCCAUCGUCAUCGGAUGUUGGGCUGGGAUCGAAAGUCAUUCAAAUGGCCUUUAAGCAAAACGGCGCAGGGAGCCUUUGUUAGUUUAGGUUUCUGUUUUGAAGAAAUGAAUUGUAUUAGGGUUAUUUUGGUUUAUAAGCAGGGUAAUAAACGGCGUCGUUUAAUGCCGAUUUGAUGGCUCUAAAAACGAUGUCGUUUGAAGAGCAAACUCGUGCGGUGACCCGACCAGGGGUGGGAUCCGCGUUCUUUAGUUUAUUGGUCGAUUUGCGCCAUAGGUCCUUGUCAUUUUGGGGAAAUUUUAACAUGAUUUUUCUUUAUUUUUUCAAUCUGUAUAGCAUAUUUGAUUCAGAUUUCAAUUUGGACCCUAGUUAAACGACAUCAUUUUCACUAAUAAAAUCUGAGCAUCUUGCGUUUAAUUACUGAUUCGGUCUCGCAAUAUUGAAUUAGACUUCAAUUUGGUUCAAAUUUAGUUUUCUUUUUCUUUUUUUAAUUUAAUAUUAGAUUUUAAAUUUAAUUAGUCUUGUUUUGACAUAUUAUCAUAAAAAAAUUUAAUGUUAUUCUAAUAUUCAAAUUUGAUAGAGUUUUUGAAAUUUACUAUUAUUAUAAUUUAAAAUAUAAUAAAUUAUUAUUAUUUGUUAUUGAUGUUUUUAAAUUUAUCAUACACUAAUUUUUGAAUCUAUUAUAUUUUAUUUAGUUUUUUCUUUUAUUUCUAAUUUUAUUUGAGCUCCAAUUCUAAAUUCAUUGAUAUUUUUAUAGUCAUUGUUAUCAUUUUCAAAAUUAUUUUCUCAUAUCUAAUUUUGCCUCUAAGUUUUCUUUUAAAAAAUAAAUUAAUUCUUAUCUUAAUUCCUUAUGGUUGACAUUAUUUUAAUAUUUAGCUUGAUAUUGUUUUUAAAUCUUGUUCUUAGUCUAAUUUUAAAAAUACAAUACACUAUUCUUUCAAAUUACUACCAAUAUGUUUUAAUUUAUCAAACAUUAUUUUAAAAAAUUUUCUAUUAUUAUUAUUAUUAUUGUUUUUUUUUUGUCAUGAGGUAUCUCUUAGAAAAUUGAUUAUUUUGUGGGGUGCUUAAUUAUUAACAUUGGUGUUUGUAUAAUAUGACUAAAAUCAUUAUUUUUAUUUGUAUUUACCUAUUACUUGUUUGUCACUUCUUGGUAUGUUUGGGUUGUUAUUUAUCUUUCACAUUAUGUAUUGCUAUUCAAUCAUGUUCCAUUUGUAAGAAUUUUAUUUUAUUAAAGCAUUACAAUCAUUCUAUUUCAUAAUUCCAAAAAAGGGCUUGGUGUUCAUAAGUUCUCGACAGAAUUGUGCCCUAACUUACUGGGCUUCAAUUCUUCUCGAUGAAUUUUGAUAAUCAAGUGUUCAUGUUAUUAAAACCAUACAAUUUUUAAAAUAUGUUUUAAGAUUUCAAAAUGUUGGAUCCUAAAUUACUGGAUAUGGCAUUUUUUUAUCUUGGUUUUAAAAUAAAGGCAAUAUUUGAUGUUUAGGAAUUUCAAGAAAUUGAACCCUAACUCACUGGAUUUUGAUUUCUCGAUUGACCUAAAUAAUCAAAUAUCCUUCUCAAAACCUAUGAAUUUUUAAAAUUAAAAAAAAUGAAUCUAACUUCGAAGAUUGAACUGUUGCACUCUAACUCACUGAGUGUGGCGGUUUAUUUCUUUGAAAUGGGUACAUCUUAUUAUCCAAUUCAAUUAUUUAGGUUUUAUUUCAUGGGAUUGUAUUUAAAAAUCUUUUUCAAGUUUCGACACUACGACAUUAAACAAUCAAUUCGGUACCAAUUUUGGGCGUUACGGGGGUGCUAACCCUUCCUCGUACGUAAUCGACUCCCGAACUCUUCUCAAAAUUCGUAGACCUAAAAUCGUUUUUAACUUGAUCCGAUCACACCUCAAUAAAAGAUUGGUGGCGACUCCCAUUUUCAUUUUCAAAGUCGAUCCCCUUUUUUUCAAAUUUAAAAAUGGUUUCAACAGCUUGGCGACUCCGCUGGGGAUAUUUAGAGAGCCAAGCCGCAAAAUUGAUUGUUUUUUGUCUUAUUGUCAAAAAUUGAAAUUUGAUUUGAAAAAUUACGAUCCUCUCUUUGCACUUGUUUAUAUGAUUACUGUAUUAUAUCUUGGUAUCAUAUUGCAUAAAGACUGUUUAGUCUUACCCUUUUAAGUGGGAGUGAGAAGUUUCUCCUUCGUGAGGUUUUCACCUCCGUGUAGGAUAGUGGAUCACUUUCGGGAGACAUCCGUACCUAUGUCUUCAUGAGAUCUUCAUCUCUGUGCAGCCAUAGGGAAAUGUAUUCCCCUGAACUGAACUUGGUCUGUAUGAGCCUAUAAUGGGUGAGGAUCGAGGAAUCUACUGGUUCGGGUACCUUGACUUUAGAGCCAAACCGCAUGUAGAAGACCUUAGAAACCCAUCCUAGGUAGAGCCACUCCAAACCCCUAGUCCUUACACGACUAGGUAUUCUUUUUGUUUGCUUUUGUUUUGUACUAACCCGUUUUGUUUUGUUUUGAUUAUGUUUGCAUUGCAUUUGCAUCUUAGAAAAGAGAUGUUGAUUCAAGUUCGAUUACUAACUUAGAAAGUUUGUCAUGGAAUACAAAUUUCUUGAUAAAGUGGAAAAUAAUACGGCUUCGUAAAUAUAUUCUGAGAAACACAAGAAGGGUGAUGGAAGAAUUUGUUACUUUACUUCGUGGCCCGAGGAUUCAAGAUGAUUGUCUAAGAGCCUUCGACGUUUCAACUCCCUUAAAGAAGCUAACGAGCCUUAUGAAGAUGGGCAGAUGAUGGAUCGCGACGAGGAUCAAGAAAAGAAGCUAGCAGUGGCAUCUAUUGGAAUUUGGCGAGAUUUAUCUUAAAAAUGCGGAUGAAGGAAAAGAUCGAUGUUAUCUCUUAGAAUAUAAGGGCAAGGCCGUACAUGCAUCUGCUUUAAGUAAAGAAAUUUGCCUUCUAGUAAAGUUUUCUAAAUAUAAUUGAAUCAGAAUCAACGUCUCUUUAGGCAUUCAUUUCAUGCAUUUGCAUUACAUGACAUCAUAUGCAUUAAAAUUCAUUGAAAGAGUCUAAUUGAGUAAAUUUAUUUUAGUUAAUUUGGAACACCAACACUCUUACGGUAUCCAAGCAAAGAUUAGAGAAAUGGAACAAAUGUUGGAGAAAUUAGAGCGAAUGCAAAUACAGAUGCAGGAGCAAUUGACUAAAUUUCAACAGGAAAUGAUAGAUCAGAUGCUAGAAUUACAGAGAACUAUGAUGAGCCAGUUCAACCGAUUGCUAGCUGGAGAGUUAGAAGAGGUGAAAGACUUGGUGGUCCACUUUGGGGUUGAUAAUGAGGAUCUUGCCUAUUCCCCAGAUUGUAUUUUGAUAAGUGUCUAGGUCCAGCUAGAUGGGCGUCCACAAGGGGCACUCUGUACUAUUAGAUCCCAACAAUAUCAGACUGGAACAUUGACACCAAUGAAUUGCCUGACAGGCCCAGGAUUCAAUCUGAGGAACAAUUUAGCUAAUUUAGUUGCUCCCGAUAAUUCAGUCGAAAUAAAGCAGGCGAGGGUAAAGUACCCAGUUACUAUAAAGGCCCCAAGGAAGAAGGGGAAUAAAGGGGAUAAUGCAGGCAAAUAUAACAAGGGCCACUCAAAACCAAUUAUUGUGGGCAGGCCAAAGACAGAAACCAUCAGCCAUCAGAGCUCUUUAAAGUGAAAAUCUUACUCGAAAACGAAUACAGAAAGGCCGCAGUUCAUGCCUGUACCAAUGACGUAUAAAAAGCUAUAUCAAAACCUGUUUGAGGCACAUAUAGUAUCCCCUUUUUACUUGAAACCUCUACAACCACCGUAUCCCAAAUGGUAUGACACAAACGCAUAAUGCGACUACCAUGCGGGAAUUACGAGGCACUCAAUAGAGAAUUGCACUACCUUCAAACAGCUAGUUGAAAGACUCAUCAACAUGGGUGUUGUCAGAUGUGGUAACUCAUCUAGUACAGAAAAUCCACUACCCAAUCACAUUGAUAAUGGGGUGAAUGUAAUAUAUGAAGAGAAAUAGAAAUGUUCACAUUAAUGUCAUUUGUGAAGAAACAACUGAAGAAGGGACCUUGUUAGAUAUCCGCCCUUAUAAAUCUGGGAGUGUUCUAAACAAUUGGAUUGCGGAAGAAAUCCCUGUAGUUUUUAGAGCUUAUUUAGAGUAAUGUUUAGAACAUUUUUGUUAUUUUUAGCCUAAAAAUGAUAGAAAUUACUUUGUGAAAUAGGCUCAUGUCUGAAUGUCAUUAUUCUAAUAAAAUACAUCUUUGCAUUCAUUUUUGAGCCAAUAUUCUUUCAUUCUUUUCGAAUAAUUAUUCUUUCAUUCUUUUGGAUUUUCUUCCAAGUCAUUCUUUCAUUCAUAAUUAUAUUGUACAAAUAAUACAUUUUUUUAUAUAUUCUUUGGUACUUACUAUGGGUCCUCAGAUAUCAAUGACAUGGGUGACGCUGCUACAGACUUAGAAUCUCCUUUUGAGCGAGAUAUGUUUUAGAGGGAUCUCAUGACUUUAAAAAUGACAUAGAUUGUAGCCUAUUUCUGGACUUGUUGAGGAUGGUAGAACAAGAGGAUAGACAGAUCUUACCUCACAAGGAAUCAUUAGAAAUUGUGACCUGGGUGAAGAUAGGAAUUGACAUGACCACAAAGAUGAAGUGAGACCUCAUUGAGUUACUCCGAGAAUUCAAAGAUGUCUUUACAUGGUCAUACCAGGAUAUGCCCGAGUUAAGCACUAACAUUGUGGUAUAUGAUUUUCCUAUAAAGAAGAUUGUAAGCCAGUGCAGCAGAAGCUCAGGAGAAUGAGGCUCAAUAUUGUGCUAAGGAUAAAAGAAAAAGUCAAAAAGCAGUUUGAUGCUGGGUUUUUACAAGCGAUCAAAUAUUCAGAAUGGGUAGCCAACAUCAUGCUAGUCCUUAAAAAAAUGGAAAAUACGAAUGUAUUACAGGGAUUUGAACAAAGCCAGUCCUAAAACUUAUUGCUUUUCAUAAUACGGUAGGCUACUCGCUAUUUUCUUCCAUAGACUACUUCUCUGGAUACAACCAGAUAAAGACGCAUCUUGAGGAUAUGGGAAGGACCACAUUCAUCACUUUAUGGGGAACACUUUAUUAGUAUGGUCAUUCAUGUUAAAGAAUGCAGGGGAUGCCUUUCUCUUUCACUUAUGAUAGCUUUGCCCAUUGAAGUUGAUUGCCUUAUACUUUGUUGGAUUUCAUCCUAGUUGAAAAGGAAUAUCCAAAGUUUUUCAUAGUUAAAAUUUACCCCAAAAGGCUCUAUGAAAGAAAUCUGAUACCAAAGAAGAUUUUUUGCAUACAAGAUGAAUGUGGAAGACUUUAUCGAGGAAAACAUUGAUUCUGAUCAAAAAGGAUAACAACGACUUGCCUAAUCCUAUGAGUUCAGAUUCAAUAAAAAAAACAAAAAAGAAAAAAUCAAAAUCAAAAAUAAAAAAGAAAAAGUCAAAAUUAAAAGAAUCAAUCAAAAUAAAAAUAAAAAGUAUAAAAAUGAUAAAAAAAAGAAAAAGAAAAGGAGAGGCCAAGGCGAAAACCAACUAAGGGUGCUUUGUGACCAAAUGUGGAUUUGAGUUGAAAACCCGAAAAGGGCGACUCAAAUUUUGAGUAAAAUGGGGCUUGGACGUCAUCAUCAUCGAAAGCUUUUAAUGGGCAUUGCUUCACUGUUGAGAUCAUUAAUUACUUCAUCAAAUGGAUAGAGGCUGCUUCAUGCGUCAAUGUCAUCAUAUACUGAUAUAGAAUUCCAGAGAGGAUGGUAUUGGAAAAUGCAUUGAAUUUGAAUAAUAGCACGAUAGCUAAAGUCUGUAAUCAAUUCAAAUCAGACACCAAGGUUCGUCACUGUAUCGCCAAAAAUGAGUUAGGGAAAAUAACUGAGACUUGCAAGGGCUUGCAUGUGCAGUUACCAUUUGCCCUCCUUAUUUUUCGAAUGUUUAUCGGGACUUCAACAGGGGCAACACUGUUUUCUCUGGUUUACAAGACGGAAGUAGUUAUACCUAUUGAAGUAGAAAUCCCUUUUCUCUGGUAUUAGUUGAGCUAAGAGUUGGAUGAAGCAGAAUGAAUCCAAUCUGAUCAGAAGGAAAAGACUAAAAGCUAUUCAGCACAAUCAGAUGUAUCAAAGGAAAAUGAUGCAAGCCUACAACCAAAAGGUUCAUCUCAGAGAAUUCCAUAAGGGGAACCUAAUGUUGAAAAAGAUCAUUCCUAUACAAAAGGAUUUUAGGGGAAAACGGAUGCCAAAGGCCUUUUCCGGAGAAGCUCUGAUCCUGAGUAGGAUGGAUGGUAAAAACUAGCCAAAUCCUAUAAACUCAGAUUCAGUCACGCAUUACUUUGCCUAAAGAAGGAGAAGGGACCAAGGUGAUAACCCACAAAUGGCGCUUUGAUUCCUAAAAAAAAAAGACCAAGGUGAAAACCCGCAAAGGGUGCUUUGGGUCUAAAAAAUCAUAAUAAUAAUAAAGAAAAAAGAAAAAGAAAAUGGAGAGGCCAAUGUGAAAACCCCCAAAUGGUGCCUUGAGACCAAAGGGGAUUUGAGUUGAAAACUUGAAAAGGGCGGCUCAAAUAUUGAUCAGAUUGAGGCAUAUGAUGGUCUUGCUAUACUCGAAUCAACAGGAAAGGGUAGGCGACACCUUGGGGCAUCGACAAAGCAUUGUAGAUCUCCUAAACACAUAUCAAACUCAGAAUGGUCUUCAGAAAGUUUGUACAGAGAAGUUCAAGCUGCAAUAUUUGGGGCACCCAAUUUUUAUACUAUUUAUAUUGAAUUUGUUGUUCUUGGAAUACUUCAUUCUUUUCUAAGAUACACAUUCCCAUUCAAUUUCUUUAUUAUCCUUCUUUACUAAUGUUGAAAAUUUAUUCAUUUCGAGCUUUGCUCAGAACCAACUUUAGUCUUAUCCAUUGUUAUGACCUUUUUUGCAAGCAUGUUGCAUUGGAAUAAUGAUUAAUGGACUAAUAAAACUUUCACAAGGGAAGUUUUACAUAUUACUCUAGAAGUUUCUAAAUAAUACAGGAACCUGAAAUAGGACUAUUGUUUAGAACACACCAAGUUUAAAGGUUGGAAAUCUGAAAAGGAAGAGUCUAAAUUAGGACUUUCUCUUUGGAUUUUGUUGUCAAAAACAUUGACUGAACAAAAUGACAAGAUGUCGUGUUGAUGGCAAAGCUUAAAUAAACAAGCAAGUAAUGAUCACCAGGCAAUAGUAAUAGGUUACCUUGGAGAAGAGAGCCUUCAUUUGCGCAUGAGCUUUUAGUACGACACCCUGGGAAUGGUGUAAGGGACCAGAAAGAUUUAGAUCCUAUGUCCUUGAAUUAUGAUAGAAGAGGAUUGAGGAAAAGCCAUGUAUUCCUACCUUUGGGUUACAGUGAGAGAAAGAUGGUACAAAUUUUGCGUCCUAGUGGAUUGAACUUUGAGGUUUACAGUGGGGGCAAUCUGACUAAGUGUUUCUUUAAAAAUGCUAGCCGAGCAGGAAUGUGUUGUAGCACGUCAAUAAUAAAGUCUUAAUAAAUUUUGAGCAAUGGUAACCUAAGGGAUAAAGAAGGAUCAUUCUAAAAAAAUAGCAUUCUACAUUCAUGAAAACACUAUUCACACAUGUCUAGUUAGGAGCAUUUGAUUCAUUUUGAUCAUGACAUCCUAAUCAUUAGGCAUAAUUAGGUUCAUUAUACAUGUCAUGUUCCCCAGAGAACAGAUUGGUGAAGUUAUAAAUCCUAUCUCCCUGGUCAGAAGUGAAAUAGGUUGAAGAUUGUAAGUCCUAUCUCCCUGGUCAACAGUGGAAUAGGUUGAAGAUUGUGAAUCCUAUCUCCCUGGUCAGCAGUGGAAUAGGUUGAAGAUUGUGAAUCCUAUCUCCCUGGUCAGCAGUGGAAUAGGUUGAAGAUUGUGAAUUCUAUCUCCCUAGGCAAUAGUGGAAUAGAUUGAAAAUUACAGAUCUUAUCUCCCUAAGAAGUAGUGGAACAGAUCGAAGCCCCUAGCCUUGCCUCCCUAGUUUGCAACGGAGCAGGUUGAAAAUAACAGAUCUUGCCUUCCUGUACCGACGGCGAAAUAGAUCGAAGAUAUCAGUCCCAUCUCCCUGGACAGCAGUGGAAUAGGUUGAAGAUUGUAGAUCAUAUCUCCCUAGACAGUAGUGGAAUAGGUCAAAGAUUACAGAUCUUAUCUCCCUAAGUAGUAGUGGAGCAGAUCGAAGACACCGGCCUUGCCUCCCUCGGUUGUAGUAGAGCAGGUUGAAGAUAGUAGAUGUUGCCUUCCUGUACUGAUAGUGAAGCAGAUCAAAGACACUAGCAUUGAUCCCCUGGGUUGCAGCGGAGCAGGUUGAAGAAAGCAGAUCUUACCUUCCUGCAUCGACAGCGAAGCAGAUCGAAGACACCAGCCUUGCCUCCCUGGUUUGUAGUAGCACAGGUUGAAAAUAACAGAUCUUGUCUUCCUAUACUGACGGUAAAGCAGAUCAAAGAUAUCAGUCCUAUCUCCCUGGACAGUAGUGGAAUAGGUUGAAGAUUGUAGAUCAUAUCUCCCUGGACAGCAGUGGAAUAGGUCAAAGAUUACAGAUCUUAUCUCCCUAAGCAGUAGUGGAGUAGAUCGAAGACACCAGCCUUGCCUCCCUUGGUUGCAGUGGAGCAGGUUAAAGAUAGUAGAUCUGGCCUUCCUGCAUCGACAGCGAAGCAGAUCGAAGAUACCAGCCUUGCCUCCCUAGGUUACAGUGGAGUAGGUUGAAGGUAAUAGAUCUUGCCUUCCUGUACUGACAGUGAAGCCGAAGACACUAGCCUUGUCUCCCUGGGUUGCAGCGGAGCAGGUUGAAGAUAGCAGAUCUUGCCUUCCUGUACUGACAGUGAAGCAAAUCAAAGACACUAGCCUUGCCUCCAUAGGUUGCAGCGGAGUAGGUUGAAGAUAGGAGAUCUUGCCUUCCUGCACUGACAGCGAAGCAGAUCGAAAACACCAACCUUGUCUCCCUAGGUUGCUUCGGAGCAUGUUGAAAAUAGCAGAUCUUGCCUUCCUGCACCGACAGCGAAGCAGAUUGAAGACACUAGCCUUGCCUCCCUGGUAGCGGAGCAAGUUGAAGAUAGCAGAUCUUUCCUUCCUGCACCGACAGCGAAGCAGAUUAAAGACACUAGCCUUGCCUCCCUGGGUUGCAGCGGAGCAGGUUGAAGAUAGCAGAUCUUUCCUUCCUACACCGACAAUGAAGCAGAUCGAAGACACCAGCCUUACCUCCCUCAGUUGCAGUGGAGCAGGUUGAAGAUAGCAGAUCUUGCCUUCCUGCAUUGAUAGUGAAGCAGAUCGAAGACACUAGCCUUACCUCCCUCGGUUGCAGUGGAGCAGGUUGAAGAUAGUAGAUCUUGCCUUCCUGCAUUGACAGUGAAGCAGAUCGAAGACACUAGCCUUGCCUCCCUCGGUUGCAGUGGAGCAAGUUGAAGAUAGCAGAUCUUGCCUUCCUGCAUUGGCAAUGAAGCAAAUCAAAGCCAAUAAUUCUAUCUCCCUAAAGUGGCUGCGGAGCGGAUUCAAAUAAUAGAACUUAUCUCUCUAAAGUUGUAGUAGAGUAGAUCGCAUCACGUCUUAUCUCCCUGAAGUUACAACAGAGCAAACUAAGAAAGUAAGUCUUAUCCCCCUAAAGUUGCAGUGGGGCAGACUGAGAAUAGCAAAUCCUACUUCCCUAGCGGUGUAAUGGAAUAGAUUGAAGCUAUAAUAGCAAAUCUUGUUUCCCCGACAUCAAAGUUAAGCAGAUUAAAGUUACGAGUUACAAAUCCUAUUUCCCCGAUGUUGUGGUAGAGUGAUUGAGGCACCAAUUCCUAUACCUCUGAAUAUGCAGUAGGAUGGAAUGGGGCUACUUGAAGAAGAAGAGCACCAAGGUCCAAGCACGACCAAGCAGUAUGGAUGAAACAUACAAUAUAUGGCUUGAAUUUCAUAAUUAUAUUAUAUACAAUGAAUCAUUUGUUUCGUUUUCACCCUCUCCACCAAAAUCACCCGUAUGAUCCCAAGGUUUCUUGUCUUGUCUAAACAUGUUUUUUUUCCUUUUAUAUUUUGUUAAUUAAAAAGACAAAUUUAUUUUAAACUUUCAAAAAUUUAUAAUUUAAAAAUUUAUAAUUUAAACCUCUAACAUAGAAAUUUUUAUUCGUCAAACUUCCACAAACACAAACCUAUAUAUUGUUGUUAAUCCAAAUCGAAUAUUGGGUUUAGGGUUGAAGCAAAUUUAAAGAGGCAGACAGAGGUACUGGCCCAACCAAAAUGGGAAAAAAAAUUCUAUUAAGACCCUUUAAAAAAUAAUAAAUUAAUACAUGAUAACUUCUUAAAAUUUUAUAAUAUAAUUCUAAUUCUUCUAAUUUUUUAAAGAUUCGCUCCUAUUCAAAGCUUCAAGCGUUAUUUGGUUUGGUAGUAUAGCAUGGUUGUUGGAAAAUUAAGUGGAUUAAUUUAUUUCAUAUUUUUCAGUCCCACUCGCCUCUAUGUGAUAGCUCCAGUGUCCACAUGCCCGUGCCACUUAUCCACAUGCCAGUGUGGAUUUUGGAGUUUUGAAUUUUUAUCUUUUUAAAUUGGUAUUCUAAUUUGUUUAAGUUACAAUUUAGUCCUUAAUAAUAAAACUUGAAUUAGACAUAGUAAACGUACUCAAAUUAAGCUAAAUAUUUUACGCUUGAAUAGUUUAACUAAAAGAAAGUUGGUAAACACUUAGAUCUAAAAUCGGGUUAGUUUUACAAUAGGUGGUAAAAUGACGAAAUUACCCUUACAUUAAAUUACCUAGGAAAAUAUUAAAUUGGAUCAUAAUUUACUUCUGCAUUAAUAAAUAACUAAUGAUUAAAUAAGAUUAAGGUGUUAUAAGGUUGGGGUGUGUCUCGGGUGGUCGUUAGCUGGAGAAUCACUUAGGUGGUUGAUGUAAUGCUUCGAAUUUGGGUCGGUCUAUCUCGAUUGGGUUUGGGGGUGCCACAAUCUAUCAUAGGGUUCAUCUCUCUUAAGUAUUUAAAAAAUUAGUUCAUGCUUAAAAAUAAAAAAAUCCAAAAUGUAGUAUGUAAUAGGCCCAAUUUGCCCGGGCCCAAAACCACAAACAAAAAAUAAACCAAUUAUAAAGGCAAAUAGAAUUAAAAUACCAUUAUUGAACAGUCCAGUUUUUUUACAAACAUUAAGUCCAAAUAAUGUAGCCCAAUACCAUAACCCGAUUACAAUAAAACCUAACCCAAUAUAAUAAGCCUAAUUUCUAAAUACCAAGACCCAAAAUACCAAAACUUGAAAAAUACUAGACCCGACAGAUCCUAAACUCGGGUCUUCCAAGGCCUAGAUCUCUGCCCGAACCAAUGGAGUACCCUAGAAGCUUCUAGGUUUUCACUGGCACCGCAAUAGUAGAUCCAGACCCGCGCGUGCAUCACCACCAAGCGCGUGCAAUCUUCUCCACGUGAGUGUGCCUCCGUUAGUUGUUCCAGGCUGGCCGAGUACCUGCAAAUACACAUGAAAACAAUAGUAGCGAAAUAACAGAAAUGGAGAAAGGAUUGGAUUUUUAGAUUUUUAUUUGUAUUAUUAUUUAUUCUGCAAAUUUCGGCUAUAAAAAGCCAGUGGAAUACUGUAAACGGGUUACGCACACAUAGCAAAAGAAAUAAAAAAAGAUUCAGAGAAAAGAAAAGUUUAAAGGUGAUUUUGAAAUCAUACCUUUGUUUCUGUCGUUUUCUUUUUCUCUUUGUUUCCUCGUUCGAGUUCUUUGUUUCUUUGUGAUUGUUUGACUCAUUGUUGUUAAGUAAAAGAGUAGAUUCAGGAAUCAAAAGAAAAGGGGUUACCUGGUUGUGAGAUCCUGGCUCUCUCCGUCGUCAUCGGAGGUUGGGCUGGGAUCUGAAGUCAUCCGAAUGGCCUUUAAGUAAAACGGCGCAGGGAGCCUUUGUUAGUUUAGGUUUCUAUUUUAAAGAAAUGAAUUGUAUUAGGGUUAUUUUGGUUUAUAAGCAAGGUAAUAAACGAUGUCGUUUAAUGCCGAUUUGAUGGCUUUGAAAACGACGUCGUUUGAAGACCAAAACUCGUGUGGUGACCCGACCAGGGAUGGGAUCCGCGUUCUUUCGUUUAUUGGUCGAUUUGCGCCAUAGGUCUCUGUCAUUUUAGGGAAAUUUUAACUUGAUUUUUCUUUAGUUUUUCAAUCUGUACAACAUAUUUGAUUCAGAUUUCAAUUCGGACCCUAGUUAAACGACAUCGUUUUCACUAAUAAAAUCUGAGCAUCCUGACUUUUGCGUUUAAUUACUGAUUCGGUCCCACAAUAUUGAAUUAGACUUAAAUUUGGUUCAAAUUUGGUUUUCUUUUUCUUUUUUUAAUUUAAUAUUAGAUUUUAAAUAUAAUUAGUCUUGUUUUGACAUAUUAUCAUAAAAAAAUUUAAUGUUAUUCUAAUAUUCAAAUUUGAUAGAGUUUUUGAAAUUUACUAUUAUUAUAAUUUAAAAUAAAAUAAAUUAUUAUUAUUUGUUAUUGAUGUUUUUAAAUUUAUCAUACACUAAUAUUUUGAAUCUAUUAUAUUUUAUUUAGUUUUUUUCUUUUAUUUCUAAUUUUAUUUGAGCUCCAGUUCUAAAAUUCAUUGAUAUUUUUAUAGUCAUUGUUAUCAUUUUCAAAAUUAUUUUCUCAUAUCUAAUUUUGCCUCUGAAAGUUUUCUUUUCAAAAAAAAUUAAUUCUUAUCUUAAUUUAUUAUGGUUGACAUUAUUUUAAUAUUUAGCUUACAAUACACUAUUCUUUCAAAUUAUUAUCAAUAUGUUUUAAUUUAUCAAACAUUAUUUUAAAAAAUUUUCUAUUAUUAUUAUUAUUGUUUUUUUUUCAUGAGGUAUCUCUUAGAAAAUUGAUUAUUUUGUGGGGUGCUUAAUUAUUAACAUUGGUGUUUGUAUAAUAUGACUAAAAUCAUUAUUGUUAUUUGUAUUUACCUAUUACUUGUUUGUCACUUCUUGGUAUGUUUGGGUUGUUAUUUAUCUUUUACAUUAUGUAUUGCUGUUCAAUCAUGUUCCAUUUGUAAGAAUUGUAUUUUAUUAAAGCGUUACAAUCAUUCUAUUUCAUAAUUCCAAAAAAGGGCUUAGUGUUCAUAAGUUCUCGAGAGAAUUGUGCCCUAACUUACUGGGCUUCAAUCCUUCUCGAUGAAUUUUGAUAAUCAAGUGUUCAUUUUAUUAAAACCAUACAUUUUUAAAAUAAGUUUUAAGAUUUCAAAAUGAUGGAUCCUAACUUACUGGAUAUGUCAUUUUGUUAUCUUGACUUUAAAAUAAAGGCAAUAUUUGAUGUUUAGGAAUUUCGAGAAAUUGAACCCUAACUCACUGGAUUUUGAUUUCUCGAUUGACCUAAAUAAUCAAAUAUCCUUCUCAAAACCUAUGAAUUUUUAAAAUUAAAAAAAAAUGAAUCUAACUUUGAAGAUUAAACUGUUGCACUCUAACUCAUUGAGUGUGGCGGUUCAUUUUCAAAGUCGAUCCCCGUUUUUUUCAAAUUUAAAAAUGGUUUCAACAUAGUAUAAUCGAAUGAAAUAAAGAAACUCAUGAUAAUCUCCUAAGAAAUCAACUGCGAAUCUUCAAUCUUGAUGAAAAUUUACUUCAGAGUCAGCUUCAAUAGUGUCUUUGUAGUUGCUUUCUUAAAUAUUCUAGGAAGGUUCUCUCCUAUCUUCUUAUGUUUUUCAUAUAUACAUCUUAAAAUGCUCAAAAAAACCUAAAAUUCACAUUUUUUCACAAUUCAAAGCGAAAAUCUAUGAAAUUGACACGACUUGCCACAUGACCAUGUGGGUCAUAUAGUUUGCCCCUAUUUUUGCUCAUUUUCCUUCCAAAUGUUCUAUUAAGAAUAAAAACACGAAUUGAAAGGAUUAGGAGCAUAAAAUUCAUAAUUAACAUUGAAUAAGCAACCCAAAACACAUUAAGAAUGAUGUUAAAACAUAUUAAUUUUAGCACUUAUCAGAUAUCCCUACACUUAAGCAUUUGUUUGUCCUUAAGCAAAAUUCUCAACCCUUAUUCAAGUUAACCUCCCUCAAUUUAUUAUUUUCACUGACAAUUCCUUAGGAAAAAUCUACAGAUAAUUAUGCACUGGAAAUUGAAACUAGCAUGACACUAAAGAAUAAAAGCAAUCUAAGCAGAAAUUUGUAAAGAACAAAAAACAUGUGCGUCUCCUCUAUCUCAAUAAUUACCUCAAAUUAAAACUCAACAAUAAUCAAUACCCUAACCAAAAUUCACUCAAAGCACUCAAAAUGUUUAAGGUUCAAGUAUUGUGUGCUCAACAGUUGAACGAAAAUUGUGAUUAUCAUAGGCAUGCUUGAAAACCAAAUCUCUACCAGUUUAAAAAAAAAAUUGAGAUGAUGCACAAAUCAAGAGGUCUUUAGAAAGUUGUAACGGGACUUAGCUUAAGGGUACGAAAAAGGUCAAAAAAGUCGAUUACAAUUAAGAGUCGAGUUGAUAAGUUACCUAUAAUUGCCCAAUAUUCGCUCGGCCCAAACACCAAUAACAAACUAGUAUAAAAAUAAAAUAUAUAACAUCAGCCCAUUUUUCAAUGUCCAUUUACAAACAAUGGCCUAAUAGGCCAAACUAACCAAAAACCUAAUGACCUAAUGGCCCAGGACCUAAAGGCAGUUAACAGAAACCCUAGCAGAAAGCAAACCCCCAACGCCACAGCGGCCCCAACUGCUCCGCGUAUACUGCGCCAUGUCCACCAUCUCCAUACACCAGCUGGCCUCCGUACCUGCAAAGAAGACGAAGACAGCACAACAAAACAACAACAAUAGGCCAGCAUAAGAAAAAACAAAAAAAAUAAUAGAAAAAAAAGAAAAAAAGGGAUAACAAUUUUUGUAAUAUUCGGCAAUAUAAAAGCUGAUUGAUUCACUUUUGUAAAGUUUACACAGACGAGAAAGCAAUAUAAAGAUAAAAAAAUUCAAAAAAAAAAAGAAAAUGAACAGAUCAUUUCAGGUGGUGUUUCGACUUCAUUUGAUUCGGAUUAUUUUCUUUCUUUUCGUCUUCUUUGUUUUGUUUUCAUUUUAGAUGCGAAAAAUACAAAAGAAAAAGGGAGGACUCUUACCUUUGUAAACGCAAAGCCGGAGCUCUGUUUACUCCGUCCAAAUCAGAGUUAGAUAGGGUUUAGGUUUGAUGCGACGGUAGGGAGGAGGAGAGUUUAGGUUUCCUGCUGAUGAGUAAAAGAGAAAAUGAAAAUCCUUAAAUUUUAUGGUUUCAAUUAGUUGUAGUGGGGUGUUUAAACGGUGCCGUUUGGGGCCUGUAUUAGUGGCCCCAAAACGGCAUCAUAUUUGUUUAGAUUAUGCGAGACCCGAUGACCCGACCCGAACAGGAUUAGACCCGCGCGUUCUGGGUUCGCAAGGGUUAUUUGCGCAUUUGAUCCCAUGGUCUUAUCCCAUCAUUUCAAUUUCAUUUUCGUUAUUCUUAAAUCUUCCCCGUGUAUUUUAAUUCGUUUGAAUCUUAUCCAGAUCCAAACGCUAUGUCUUGAGGGCGUGGGAUUAUUUCCCUUUUUGGUCCCUUGUAUUACGCGUGUGUUACUAUUUGACCUGGUGGACCUUGUUUAAUUUCGUUUCUUUUCCUUUAAUUUUAGUUUUGACUUCGAUUUAGUCCCUUUUGCAUUUUUUAGUUUACUAUUAAUUAUUAUUACUCUUAUUAUUAUAGAAUACUACAUUUGUUCAUGUUUUUUUUUAAUCUUUAUAUGUACUGUUAUUUUAAGUAAUUAUCAUAUUUUUGUAUUUAAUCCCAAUGUAUUAUUUUCCUUUUUUAAAUGUAUUAUUAUUAGUAUUAUAAAUUUAUUGUGUAUUAUUAUAUUCAGUAUUUAUAUUAUUAUAUAUUAAUAGUUAAUUUCAUCAUGUAUCAUUUUACAUAUUUUACAUGUUAAUCUAAUAUAAUAUUUUUUUUGUGUGAUCUUAUUUAUAAUACCUCUUUUUAAAACCCAUUUAUAUACCCUUGUGUUUUAAAGAUUUAUAAUAUUUUAUGUGCAAUACUAUUAUACAUAUAUUUAGAUAUACAAUUUAUAUUAAACUAUUUUUGUUAUGCAUAUAUGUACAUAUAAUUUAUGUUUUAAAACCCUGUUUUAUUAUAUUUUAUUUAUUUCAGCCUUUAUAUGCAUUAUCAUAUGUAUAUUAUCCUUUAUAUUAAAUCUUUCAUUUCACAUAUCUUUUUUUUUAAUCAAUGUGUAUUAUUUUUCUUCCUCGUUAUUUUAUAUUUAGUGUAAUUUUUUAGAUUGAUAAUUCAUUUAAUUUUUUAUUGUUGUAUGAUGUGAGACGAUUGUUAUUACGCGUAUUUCAUUGCAUGUUUAUAUUAUUUGAUGAUUUAUCGUCCACUAGCAUGUAUCGUAAUUUACGAAUUACCAUCUUGAAUUACGCACUACCAUUCAAUCGCCUUACAUUUGUUUAGAAAAACAUCAAAAUCGUUUUGCAUAAAUCUUCAAGAUACUCGGUAUCCAAGAUUCUCAAGAGAAUUGUGCCCUAACUUACUGGGCUUCAAUUCUCCUUGUUGAAUUUAGAUAACCGAAUAUCCCUUCUUCAAUUUAAACGUAGAAAUUCCAAAAUCAAAGCUUAUCUCAGGAAUUCGAUACGUCGUGUCCUAACGCAUUGGACAUGACAUGUUGUUUUCUUGAGACGAGAAUUUUUCUAAAUAAAAAUAAAGGCAAUAUUCGAUAUUUAGGAAUUUUGUGGAAUCAAACCCUAACUUACUGGGUUUUGAUUUUUUCAUUUGACCCAAAUAAUCGGAUAUCCUUCUCAAAAUGCAUAGGUUUUAAAAGUCAAGAGAUAAACUUAAUUUUGAGGAUUUAAAAUGUUGCACUAUAACUUACUGAGUGUGACAAUUCCUUUCUUUGAAAUAAGUGAGUCUCAUCAUCCAAUUCGUUUUAUUCAAAUUUUCUCUUCAAAGGACCGUAUUUUGAAAUCUUUUCAAAUUCUCGAUGCUAAGGUAUUAAACAAUAAAUUCGGUACCAAUUUUGUUCGUUACGAGUGUGCUAACCCUUUAUCGUGCGUAACCGACUCCUGAACCUAUUUUCUCAAAUCUCGUAGACCAAAAUCAUUUUUAAGGUGAGCCGAUCACACCCCAAUAAAGGAUCGGUGGCGACUCCGAUUUUUAUUUUUUUAGUCGAGAACUAUUUUUUUGUUUUCAAAAAAAGUGGUUUCGACAGCUUAGCGACUCCACUGGGGACCCUUAGAGAGUCAAGCCGCAAAAUUGAUUUUUUUUGUGUUAUUGUCAAAAAUUGAAAAUUUGAUUUGAAAAAUUACGAUCCUCUCUUUGCACAUGUUUGUGUGAUUACUGUAAAUCAAGUUUUAUAUCUUGGCAUCAUAUUGCAUAAAGACUGUUUAGUAUUACCCUUUCAAAUGGGAGUGAGAAGCUACUCCUUCGUGAGGUUUUCACCUCCGUGCAGGAUAGUGGAUCACUUUCAGGAUACAUCCGUACUUAUGUCUUCGUGAGAUCUUCAUCUCCGUGCAGCCAUAGGGAAAUGUAUUCCCCUGAACCGAACUCGAUCUGUAUGAGCCUAUAAUGGGUGAGGAUCGAGGAAUCUGCGGGUUCGGGUACCUUGACUUUAGAGCCAAACCACAUGUAGAAGACCUUAAGAACCCAUCCUAGGUAGAGCCACUCCGAACCCCUAGUGCUUACCCGACUAGGUAUUCUUUUUGUUUGCUUUUAUUUUGUAUUAACCCGUUUUGUUUUGUUUUGUUUUGAUUAUGAUUACAUUACAUUUGCAUCUUAGAGAAGAGGUGUUGAUUCAAGUUCGAUUACUAACUUAGAAAGCUUGUCAUGGAAUAUGGAUUUCUUGAUAAAGUGGAAAAUAAUAGGGUUGCCCGAAUAUAUUCUGAGAAACAGAAGAAGGGUGAUGGAAGAGUUCGUGACUUUACUUCGUGGCCUGAGGAUUUAAGAUGAUUGUCUAAGAGCUUUCGACGUUUCAAUUCCCUUAAAGAAGCUGAUGAGCAUUAUGAGGAUAAGAAAACGAUGGAUCAUGACCAGGAUCAAGAAAAAGAGAGCUAGCAGUGGCAUCUAUUGGAAAUUUGUGGGAUUUAUCUUAAACAUGCGGAUGAAGGAAAAGAUCGUUUUUGUCUCUUGGAAUAUAAGGGCGAGGCCGUACAUGCAUCUGCUUUAUGUAAAGAAAUUGGCCUUCUAGUAAAGUUUUCUAAAUGUAAUUGAAUUAGAAUCAACGUCUCUUUAGGCAUUCAUUUCAUACAUCUGCAUUACAUGACAUCAUAUGUAUUAAAAUCCAUUGGAAGAGUCUAAUUGAGUAAAUUUAUUUCAGCUCCUCUAGAAAACCGACCAACUAAAAACACCCUUACGGUACUCGUCGCAAAACUAAGGAAAUAGAUCAAAGAUUAGAGAAAUUGGAGAAAAUGCAAAAAGAAAUGCAAGACCAGCUAUAGAUGCAAAUGAAUGAGCAGUUGGAAAAAAAUUAACAAGAUAUGACAGAAAUGAUGCAGGAGUCUCAAAACGAUAUGAUGGCUAAGUUAACGCAAUUACUAACUAAUGGAAUAAAUAAGGGGAAGGGCCCUAUGGUUAAUGAUGAAGAAAGAGACAAUGAUGGACCUCUAUAUCUUCCAAGUUUUACUCCUCCGCAUGUGCAAACUCAAGCUGAGGUGCAUCCACGCAGAUCCUCUAUUACGAUUAGGCCUCAUCAGUUUUAGGCUAGUGUUUCAGUGCCGAUGAACUUCCAGGCUGGAUCAAGUUCUAAUCCCGGAGAUAACCCGAUGAAUCUUGCUAUCCCUAAUUUUGAUGAAGUAGCUGAGAAAGAUAAAGCAAUGGAAGAAUUGCCAAAACAGUUUGAGGAAAGGUGGAAAUGGAUUGAAGAGAAAUCCAGGGUAAUAGAAAGCACUAAAAGUUAUCGUGCAAUGGAUGCUAAGGAUCUGAGUUUGGUCCCAGAUUUGGCACUUUCUUAUAAGUUCAAGAUGCCAGAAUUUGAGAAGUAUAAUGGGACCAGUUGCCCUCAAGCCCAUAUCACCAUGUUCUGUAGGAGGAUGACUGGUUAUAUUAACAAUGAUCAGCUAUUAAUACAUUGUUUUUAGGGUAACCUCAAAGAGGCAACAUCUAAAUGGUAUAAUCAAUUGAGCCGAACCAAAAUUAGUUCUUGAAGGGAUUCGACACAGGCUUUUAUGAGGCAGUAUAGUCAUAUAUCAGAAAUGACUCCUGAUAGAAUCACCGUGAAAAAUUUGGAAAAGAAAUCAAAUGAAAGCUUUAGACAGUAUCCACAGAGGUGGAGACAGGUUGCAGUCCAAGUUCAACCGCCACUCCUAGAUAAAUAAAUGACGAUACUUUUCAUCAACAUAUUGAAAGCCCCGUUCAUCACACACAUGUUAGGAAGUGCCACAAAAGGCUUUUCUAACAUAGUCAUGAAUGGUGAGAUGAUUAAGAACGCUAUAAGAACCGGGAAAAUUGAUGCGGAAGAGAGUAAUAAGAGGUCAGCCUCAAGGACAAGAGAAAAUAAGGUGAACAGCACAAGUUACUCUAAAUCAGUUACUGUAAGUCAGCCAAGAAAUGUGGUUGAUAAUCAACAAAAUUCAUCAAGGCGAGAUUUUGGCAUGAAGACUGAGAAGUUCCAGUUUACACCAAUCCCAAUAUCGUAUAGGGAACUGUAUGAAAAUUUGUUUGAUGCACAUGUUGUCUCCCCUUUUCAUGUGAAACCUCUACAACCUCCAUAUCCUAAAUGGUAUGAUACGAAUGCACAAUGUGACUACCAUGCGAGAAUUACGGGGCACCUAAUAGAGAAUUGCACUGCUUUCAAAAAGCAAGUUGAAAGACUCAUCAACAUGGGUAUUAUCAAGCUUGAUGACUCAUCUAGUGCAGAAAGCCCGCUACCCAAUCAUGAUUGAUGAUGGAGUGAAUGCAAUGUAUGAAGAGGUGUUGGGAAACGUUCACAUCAAUCCCAUGCAUGAAGACACAAUUGAAAAGGGUCCUUGUUAGAUAUUUGCCCUUAUCAACUUGGAGGUGUUCUAAGUAAUUGGACUGCGGAAGAAAUCCCUAUAGUAUUUAGAGCUUACUUAGAGUAAUAUUCAGAACGCACUUGUGGUUUUAGCCUAGAAGCAAUAAGAACUUUUUUAUGAAAUAAGCUCAUGUUUGAACGUUGUUAUUUUAAUGAAAUACAUCUUUGCGAUCAUUUUUGAGCAAAUGUUCUUUCAUUCCAUAUGAAUAAUUAUUUUGAUUCUUUCAUUCUUUUGGAAUUUCUUCCACAACAUUCUUUCAUUCAUUCACAAAUAAUUAUUUAUAAAUUCAUACAUUCUUUGUAUUCUUUGACACCUGCAAUAGGUCCCUAGAUAUCAAUGUCAUGAGUGACACUGCUACAGACUUAGAAUUUCCUUUUAAGUGAGACAUGUGUUCAGAAGGAUCUCAUGGCUUUGAAGAUGAUAUAGAUUGUGACCUACCUCCAGACUUGUUGAGGAUGGUAGAACAGGAAGAGAAACAAACUUCACCCUAUGAGGAGACAACAAAAAUUGUGAGCUUGGAGGAGAGAAAAUUAGUAAAAAGUAGAAUGUUCAUAACCGGAGAAACGAAGUAAGACCUUCUUAAAUUACCUCAAGAGUUCAAAGAUGUCUUCGCGUGGUCAUAUCAAGAUAUGCCCGAGUUAAGCAUUGAUAUUAUAAUCUGAACAACAGCAAUGUUAGAAAUUUGUAGUAUGCUCAAGAUUUACAUCAUAAACAAUGCAGUGAAAUUUCUUUUCUGGGGUAAUGCAUUUAUCUUUAACUCAUCAUAGCUUUGCCCAUUGAAAUCGAGUUACCAUUGCUCUGCGUUUUUGUUGGAUCUCAUCCUAAUUGAAGAGGAAGAUCCAAGGUUUUUUGUCAUAAUUAAAAUUUCACCCAGAAGGCUAUAUAAGAGAAACUUGAUACCAAAAAAAGAUCCUUCGUAUACAAGAUGAAAGCAGAAGAUCUUAUGUGGAAGACCUUAUCUAGAAUAACAUUGAUUCUGAUCGAAAGGGAUGACCAGGACUUGUCUAAUCCUAUGAGUGCAGAUUCGAUAAAAAAACAAAAAAAUAAAAACCUCUAUCGGGGUUAUUCCUUUCUCUUUAGCUUAUCACGGUUUUUUCCAUUGAAGUUGAAAUUAUUUCUCUCCGGGUAUUGGCUAAGCUGAAGUAGGAUAAAGAUCCAAUCUCAAUAUGAUCAGUUGAACCUAAUUGAAGGAAAAAGGCUAAAAGCUAUUCACCACGGUCAGAUGUACCAAAAACGAAUGAUGCAAGCUUACAAAAAAGGGUUGUCCCAGAGAAUUCCAUGAGGGAGACCUGAUAUUGAAAAAUAUCCUUCCUCUACCAAAGGAUUUUAGAGGGAAAUGGAUGCCAAAUUCAGAAGAUCCUUAUAUCGUAAAGAAGUAAUUCUCCAAAGGAGCUUUAAUUUUGAGCGAGAUGGAUGGAAAACCUGCUAAAUCUUGUAAACUCAGAUUCAGUCAACAAGUAUUUAACCUGAAAAAAGAGAAAGGAUCAAGGUGAAAACCUACAAAGGGCGUUUUGAGUCCUAAAAAAAUAGAGACCAAUGUGAAAACCCUCAAAGGGCGCUUUGAGUGCAAAAAAUAAAAAAAUAGUAAAGAAAAAAGAAAAAGAAAAUGGAGAGGCAAAGGUGAAAACCCACAAAGAGCGCCUUGAGACCAAAGGGAUUUUAGUUGAAAACCCGAAAAGGGCGGCUCAAAUAUUGAUCAAAAUGGGGCACGAGGUGAUCAGAGCAACUAAAAUUUUGAUCGAAUUAGGGCAUGUGGUGAUCUUGUUAUACCUCAAUCAAUAGGAAAGGGUAGGUGACAUCUUGGGAUAUCGACAGAGUAUUGUAGAUCUCCUAAACACAUGUCAACCUCAGAAGGGUUUUCAGAAAGUUUGUACAGAGAAGUUCAAGCUGCGAUAUCUGGGGCACCUAAUCCUCAUACUAUUUAUACUAAAUUUGUUAUUCUUGGAACACUUCAUUCAUUUCCAAGAUACGCAUUCCCAAUCAAUUUCUUUGUUAUCCUUCUUUACUAUCUUUGAUAAUUUAUUCCUUUCGAGCUUUACUCAGAACCAACUCUAUUCUUAUCCAUUGUUAUGAUGUUUGUGCAAGCAUGUUGAAUUGGAAUAAUGAUUAAUGGACUAAUAAAACUUUCACAAUGGAAGUUUUGCAUAUUACUCUAGAAGUUUCUAAAUAAUACAAGAACCUGAAACAGGACUAUUGUUUAGAACGCACCAAGUUUAAAAGUUAGAAAUCUAAAAAGGAAGAGUCUAAAUUAGGACUUUCUUUUUGGAUUUUGUUGUCAAAAACAUUGAUUGAACAAAAUGACAAGAUGUCGUGUUAACGACAAAGCUUAAAUAAACAAGCAAGUAAUGAUCACCAGGCAAUAGGAGGAGGUUUCCUCGGAGAAGAAAGCCUUCAUUUGUGCAUGAGCCUUAGGUGCGACACCCUGGGAAUGGUGUAAGGUUACCGAUAGAUUUAGAUCUGGUAUCCUUAAAUUGCAAUAGGAAAAGAUUGAGAAAAGGCUAGAUUUCUUCAUUCUUGAGUUACAAUUGGAGAAUGAAGGUACAACUUUUUGCGUCCUAGUAAAUUAAACUUUGAGGUUUACAGUGGGGGGCAACCUGACUAAAUGUUUCUUCAGAAAAGCCAGCCAAGCAAUAAGGCGAUGUAGCAUGUCAGUGAUAAAGCCUUAAUAAACUUCGAACAAUGACAACCUAAGCAAGAUGGUUCUCAAAAAAAUAAAAUUCUACAUUCAUGCAAACACCAUUCACACAUGUCUAGCUAGGAGCAUUUGAUUCAUGUUGAUCAUGACAUUCUAAUCAUUAGGCAUAAUUAGGUUCAUUAUACAGGUCAUGCUCCCCAAAGAACAGAUCAGUAAAGAUAGCAGAUCUUACCUUCCUGUACUAACGGUGAAGCAGAUCGAAGAUACCAGUCCUUUCUCCUUGAGCAACAGUGGAGUAGGUUGAGAAUUAUAGAUCUUAUCUCCCUAAGCAGUAGUGGAUCAGAUCGAAGAUGGCAGACCUUAUCUCCCUAAGCAGUAGUGGAGCAGAUUGAAGCCGGUAAUCCUAUCUCCCUGAAGUUACCGUGGAGCAGAUUAAAAUAAAAGAUCUUAUCUCUCUGAAGUUGCAGUAGAGUAGAUCGCAUCAGGUCUUAUCUCCCUAAAGUGCAGUGAAGCAGACCGAAGAAUUACAGAUCUUAUCUCCCUAAGUAGUAGUGGAGCAGAUCAAAGAUUACAGAUCUUAUCUCCCUAAGCAGUAGUGGAGCAGAUCGAAGACCCCAGCCAUGUCUCCCUGAGCAGCAGUGGAGUAGGUUGAAAAUUACAGAUCUUAUCUCCCUAAGCAGUAAUGGAGCAGAUCAAAGACCCCAGUCUUGUCUCCAUGAGCAGCCGUGGAGUAGGUUGAAAAUUACAGAUCUUAUCUUUCUAAUCAGUAGUGGAGCAGAUCGAAGAUUGCAGAUAUUAUCUUCCUAAGCAGUAGUGGAGCAUAUCAAAGACCCCAGCCUUGUCUCCCUGAGCAGCAGUGGAGUAGGUUGAAAAUUAUAGAUCUUAUCUCCCUAAGCAGUAGUGGAGUAGAUCGAAGAUGGCAGAUCUUAUCUCCCUAAGUAGUAGUGGAGUAGAUCAAAGACCCCAACCUUGUCUCCCUCAGCAGUAGUGGAGUAGGUUGAAAAUUGCAGAUUUUAUCUCCCUAAGCAGUAGUGGAGCAGAUCGAAGACCCUAACCUUGUCUCCCUGAACAGCAGUGGAGUAGGUUAAAAAUUACAGAUCUUAUCUCCCUAAGCAGUAGUGGAGCAGAUCGAAGACCCCAGCCUUGUUUCCCUAAGCAAUAGUGGAGUCAGUUGAAAAUUACAGAUCUUAUCUCCCUAAGCAGUAGUGGAGCAGAUCGAAGACCCCAACCUUGUCUCCUUGAGCAGCAGUGGAGUAGGUUGAAAAUUACAGAUCUUAUCUCCCUAAGCAGUAGUGGAACAGAUCAAAGACCUCAACCUUAUCUCCCUAAGUAGCAAUGGAGUAGGUUAAAAAUAACAUAUCUUGUCUCCCUGAGCAGCUGUGGAGUAGGUUGAAAAUUACAGAUCUUAUCUCUCUAACCAGUAGUGGAGCAGAUCGAAUAUUGCAAAUCUUAUCUCCCUAAGCAGUAGUGGAGCAGAUCGAAGACCCCAGCCUUGUCUCCCUGAGCAGCAGUGGAGUAGGUUGAAAAUUACAGAUCUUAUCUCCCUAAGCAGUAGUGGAGCAGAUCGAAGAUGGCAGAUAUUAUCUCCCUAAGCAGUAGUGGAGCAGAUCAAAGACCCCAGCCUUGUCUCCCUCAGCAGCAGUGGAGUAGGUUGAAAAUUGCAAAUCUUAUCUCCCUAAGCAGUAGUGGAGUAGAUCGAAGACCCCAGCGUUGUUCCCUGAGCAACAGUGGAGUAGGUUAAAAAUUACAGAUCUUAUCUCCCUAAGUAGUAGUGGAGCAGAUCAAAGACCCCAGCCUUGUCUCCCUGAGUAGUAGUGGAGUAGGUUGAAAAUUACAGAUCUUAUCUCCCUAAGCAGUAGUGGAGCAUACCGAAGACCCCAGCCUUAUCUCCCUGAGCAGUAGUGGAGUAGGUUGAAAAUUACAGAUCUUAUCUCCCUAAGCAGUAGUGGAGCAGAUCGAAGACCUCAGGCUUAUCUCCCUGAGCAGCAGUGGAGUAGGUUGAAAAUAACAGAUCUUGUCUUCCUGUACUAGCAGCGAAGUAGAUCGAAGACUCUAGUCUUAUCUCCCUGAAGUUACAGUGAAGCAGAUAGAAGAAACCAAUCCUAUCUCCCUGAAGUUGCAGUGGAGCGGAUUAAAACCACAGAUCUUAUCUUUCUGAAGUUGCAGUAGAGUAGAUCGCAUCCAGUCUUAUCUCCCUGAAGUUGCAGUGAAGAAGACAGAAGAAACUAAUCAUAUCUCCCUGAAGUUACAGUGGUGUGGAUCAAAAUGAUGGAUCUCAUCUCUCGAAAGUUGCAGUAAAGCAGAUCGCAUCAGACUUAUCUUUAAAGUUGCAAUAGAACAAGAUGAAGCUACAAGUCUUAUCUCCCUGAAGUUGCAGUGGAGCAGACUAAAGAUAGCAAAUUCUGUUCUUUUAAGAAACUACAAGGUGCAAAUCCUAUUUCCCUGAUGUCGCAGUGGAGUGGACCGAAGCACCAAUUCCUAUAACUCUGAAGAUGCAAUAGGUUGGAAUGAGGCUACUUGAAGAAGAAGGGCACCAAAGUCCAAGCACGACUGGGCAAAAUUGGUCAUUUCUAAAGUCAUUGCUCCUUUCCCAUUACACAACAACGAGCAAAGAGGGGCAGCUGUAAUUGCCCAAUAUUCGCCCGACCCAAACACCAAUAACAAACCAGUAUAAAAAUAAAAUAUAUAAAAUUAGCCCAUUUUUGAAAGUCCAUUUACAAACAACGGCCUAAUAGCCCAAACUAACCAAAAACCUAACGGCCCAGCACCUAAAGGCAGUUAACAAAAAACCUAGCAGCAAGCAAACCCCCAGCGCUGCAGCAGCCCUAACUCUUCCGUGUAUGCUGUGCCAUGUCCACCAUCUACGUACGCCAGCUGGCCUCCGUACCUGCAAAGAAGACGAAGACAGCACAGCAACACAACAACAAUAGGCCAGCAUAAGAAAAAACAAAAAAAAUAAUAGAAAAAAAAGGGAUAAACGAUUUUUGUAAUAUUCGGCAAUAUAAAAGCCGGUUGAUUCAGGUGGUGUUUCGACUUCGUUUGAUUCGGAUUGUUUUCUUUUCUUUCGUCUUUUUUGUUUUGUUUUCAUUUUAGAUGCGAAAAAUACAAAAGAAAAAUGGAGGACUCUUACCUUUGUAAACGCAACGCCGGAGCUCUGUUUACUCUGUCCACAUCGGAAUUAGAUAGGGUUUAGGUUUGAUGCGACGGCAGGGAGGAGGAGAGUUUAGUUUUCCUGCUGAUGAGUAAAAGAGAAAAUGAAAAUCCUUAGGGUUUCAGUUAGUUGUUGUGUGGUGUUUAAAUGGCGUCGUUUGGGUCCUGUAUCAGUGGCCCCAAAACGGCAUCGUAUUUGUUCAGAUUAUGCGAGACCCGAUGACCCGACCCGAACAGGAUUAGACCCGCGCGUUCUGGGUUCGCAAGGGUUAUUUGCGCAUUUGAUCCCUUGGUCUUAUCCCAUCAUUUCAACUUCAUUUUCGUUAUUCUUAAAUCUUCCCCGUGUAUUUUGAAUUCGUUUGAAUCUUAUCCAGAUCCAAACGCUGCGUCUUGAGGGCGUGGGAUUAUUUCCCUUUUUGGUCCCUUGUAUUACGCGCGUGUUACUAUUUGACCUGGUGGACCUUGUUUAAUUUCGUUUCUUUUCCUUUAAAUUUAGUUUUGACUUUGAUUUAGUCCCUUUUGCAUUUUUUAGUUUACUAUUAAUUAUUAUUACUCUUAUUAUUAUAGAUUACUAUAUUUGUUCAUGUUUUCAUUUAUCUUUAUAUGUACUGUUAUUUUAAGUAAUUAUCAUAUAUUAGUAUUUAAUCCCAAUGUAUUAUUUUCCUUUUUUAAAUGUAUUAUUAUUAGUAUUAUAAAUUUAUUGUGCAUUAUUAUAUUAAGUAUUUAUAUUAUUAUUAUAUAUUAAUAUUUAAUUUCAUCAUGUAUCAUUUUACAUAUUUUCCAUGUUAAUCUAAUAUAAUAUUAUUUUUGUGUGAUCUUAUUUAUAAUACCUCUUUUUAAAACCCAUUUAUAUACCCUUGUGUUUUAAAGAUUUAUAAUAUUUUGUGUGCAAUACUAUUAUACUUAUAUUUAUAUAUACAAUUUAUAUUAAACUAUUUUUGUUAUGCAUAUAUGUACAUAUAAUUUAUGUUUUAAAACCCUGUUUUAUUAUAUUUUAUUUAUUUCAGCCUUUAUAUGCAUUAUCAUAUGUAUAUUAUCCUUUAUAUUAAAUCUUUCAUUUCACAUAUCUUAUUUUUUUAAAAAUCAAUGAGUAUUAUUUUUCUUGCUCGUUAUUUUAUAUUUAGUGCAACUUUUUAGAUUGAUAAUUCAUUUAAUUUUUGAUUGUUGUACGAUGUGAGAUGAUUGUUAUUACUCGUAUUCCAUUGCAUGUUUAUAUUAUUUGAUGAUUUAUCGUCCACUAGCAUGUAUCGUAAUUUAUGAAUUAUCAUUUUGAAUUACGCACCACCAUUCAAUCGCCUUACAUUUGUUUAGAAAAACAUCAAAAUCGUUUUGCAUAAAUCUUCAAGAUACUCGGUAUCCAAGAUUCUCAAGAGAAUUGUGCCCUAACUUACUGGGCUUCAAUUCUCCUUGUUGAAUUUAGAUAACCGAAUAUCCUUUCUUCAAUUUAAAUGUAGAAAUUCCAAAAUCAAAGCUUAUCUCAAGAAUUCGAUACGUCGUGUCCUAACGCAUUGGACAUGACAUGUUGUUUUCUUGAGACGAGAAUUUUUCUAAAUAAAAAAAGGCAAUAUUCGAUAUUUAGGAAUUUUGUGGAAUCAAACCCUAACUUAUUGAGUUUUGAUUUUUUCAUUUGACCCAAAUAAUCGGAUAUCUUCUCAAAAUGCAUAGGUUUUAAAAGUCAAGAGAUAAACUUAAUUUUGAGGAUUUAAAAUGUUGCACUCUAACUUACUGAGUGUGACAAUUCAUUUCUUUGAAAUAAGUAAGUCUCAUCAUCCAAUUCGUUUUAUUCAAAUUUUCUCUUCAAAGGAUCGUAUUUUAAAAUUUUUUCAAAUUCUCGAUGCUAAGGUAUUAAACAAUAAAUUCGGUACCAAUUUUGGGCGUUACGAGGGUGCUAACCCUUCCUCGUGCGUAACCGACUCCCAAACCUGUUUUCUCAAAUCUCGUAGACCAAAAUCGUUUUUAAGGUGAGCCGAUCACACCCCAAUAAAGGAUCGGUGGCGACUCUGAUUUUUAUUUUUUUAGUCGACAACUAUUUUUUUUUGUUUUCAAAAAAAGUGGUUUCGACAUUACCAAACCACAAAAAAAUCUAUAAAUGUUAUUAAAAAUACAAAAAAAAUAAUUUUUAAAAUAUUUUUGCAAUUUUAUGUAAUCUUAAAGAGUUAGGACCAAAUUAACAAAAGCUAUAAAUGUUUAAGGAUAAAAAAAAAACGCUAUAAAUGUUAUUAAAUUAGGUGUAGUUUGAGGACUAUAACCCUACUAUCUAGUUUUUAUAUAUUAAUCUUAAUUCCGAAUUACCCUAUCAUCAGUUAGAAAUGGUUUCUAGAAUAUUUACACAUAUUUAACUUAUACUUUAUUUAAUAGUUGAAGUUCAAUAAACAUAUUAAAUUACUUUAAAUUUAAACUAAUCUUUUAUGAAAAUAAAUAAUCGUACAUAAUUUGUCUUAUUAUAUAUGCGAUGUUUGCGGAUUCGUUAAUUUUAAUAAAGGGUAAUCAGUUUUCAACUUAUCCCUUUUUCUUUUAGUUUCUAACAAAAUCAAUUGAUUAAUUACCUUAAUCCAUUAUAACUGAUUUUAAAAUUGAUUUUAUCAAUCUAAUGGACUUGACCAAGUCAACUAAGCCAAUAUCAUCGAUUUUAAUUGGGUUUUGCUCGACCCUACUGAAAAAACAUGUCGAUGUCAUUAAAAUUGAUAUAUUUACCUUAUUAUAAAAGAUUAAUUAUAAAAAAGUCAGUCAAUGAUAAAGUCACAUAUAACUCCAAAGACCCCUCAAAAAAUUGAAUGCAUCAACAACAAAUUUAAUGUCCAUAUUUUAUUGUUUCCGAAAAGGUUGAUAAGACUGAAAUUAUAGAAUAAAAUCAUGAGGUCUUAAAUGCAAUUGAAUUAAAUGUGAUCCUAAAAUGUUAGACUUCUUAUCCCACAAAUGUGACAGUGCUUGUCAAGCACUGAAGUUUAACUUAAAUAUUGGUUUGUGUUAAAAUUGAAAUGUUCGUGUCAUCCAAAAAGAUCUUGAAUUCAAUUAAUUGUGAUUGAGAAAUCAUGUCAGAUUGCUUGAAAAUUGGUGAGAAAAUUCUAGGUCUAUGGCAAGUAAUUUCAUGAUGAUGGGGAAAUAAAUAGGCAACAUUUUUCAAUGUUCUUCUUUCAUUGUAUUUGACAAGAAACAUAGAAAAUGACAAAGAAAAUGAAAAUGAAAUAAAGUUAUCAGAUCUCAAGACUCUUUGCUCUUCUUUCAUUGGAUCGGAUCGACAGGCUAGAAAGUAAAGUUCUGGCCUUCGUGCCUUAUGAUGUAGGUUGAUAUUUUGUUCCUUUGAAUUUUCAACACACAAAAGGCAAUAACCAGAAAGGAGCAUAAGAGAAGAGGUGGGACUGGAGGCAAGGAGAUGGUGGAGAGAACUUGUCAAAGCUAAGAAUCUCUAAAAUAUUUCUCAACAUUUUUUUUUUAAUUUCAUGAUUCAUGAAAACAAAUUUAGGUAUUUCUCAACUUGUCAAAUUAGUGCUCAAUCUUUGAAAGGUUGCUCACAUAAGGAUCAAACUUUUCAAAAUGGUCAAGUAAGAGUUUAACCUUUACAGAAGUGCUAAAAUAAGGGUUUUUCAUGCACUUCAACCCAAUUUGUAGAAAAAAUAGGUAAAUACCGAUAUGUUUCGAGUAAAACACAUAGCCUGAUACACAACAAUUGAGAAGCCCUUAAUUGAACAACUUUUAAAAGGUUAGGGCCUUAUUUGUCUAUUUUAAAUUGAAAUAUUUAACUUAUUGCAGAAGACUAACAGUAGAAAAGUAAGUCAAUGCUAAAGUAACAAAUGGAUAAUAUUGGUGAUCAUAUAUUUAUUUCAAAUAUUGGUGACCAAAACUAUAAUUUUAAGAAAACAUAAGUGAUAGAAUUUGUGAUUUUCCAUUUUUUUUUCAUUUUCAAAAAAAAUUUGGUUUUACACUUUUUUUUAUUGCUUUAACAAAUUUAGUUUUAACAUUUUUUUCAUUUUACCUCAAUUUUUUUUAUUGCUAUAGCCCUCAACAGUACCAAAUUAAAAAUCCAAUUUAGCCUUUAUGAAAAAAAGUGCACCAAUUAAGUGCUCAAUGAUUUCAAAAAAAAUUAAUUGACCUCUUCAUUUAACAAAAACUGUAAGUUGAACGAUUUAACCGUUCAUUUAACUAAUGUUACGGACAGAAAUCACCAAAAGUUGUCACAUGAUAGUAUGAUAAUGUGGCAUACCACAUAAAAAAUAAAAAAUACUUUUUAACAAAAAAAUAAUUUAAAAAACAUUUUUAAAUUUUCUUGCAACAACCUUGAGUAACAUCAUCCACAAAAGCUUGAAGGUUCAUAUCCAUAGAACCACCUUUCAUGGCGGCUUCCCUCGCUAACCCUUUCCAUUUCUCAACAUUUUUCUUCACUUCCAUCCCUUUUCUCUUCAUCCCCCAUCACCAAAUCCAAGCACCUAACGAUCUUAUCACGUUAAUUUAUUGAAAGAAUAUUUUAUAAAUUAACUUAUUAUUAAACAUUGAAAAAUAUUUGAAAGAGUAGUCAUGAUAUAAUAUAUUUAUAAUAUUAAAAUAUAAUUUAUGCUUUAAUUAUAAGGAAAAUUUUGAAAGAUGAAUUUAUUAUAAUGUGUAGAUAUAUAAUUAAUGAUUCGGAAUCUUAAUAUAUACAGAAUAUAUAUAAUAUUUUUUUCGGUGAAUAAUUAAAUAUCAUUAAAUCAUUUUGUAAGUUUAUCAUAAUUUUUAUAAAUGAUACAAAAAAUAAUUUAAAGCAUAUUAUUCUAUAAAAAUAUUAAAAUUAAUAAAUCAUAUUAUAAUGAAAGAUGCAAAAUAGAUACAAGAAUAUAAUAUAAGAGGUUACAAUUCUUUGUUGUAGAUAUAUAAUUUACUAGUAAUAUUUUAAAAUAUGUUGUUAGUUCUUGUAUUUCUAUAAUUUCAUUCUUUAUACUUUAAAAGUUAUAAAUUUAAUCCCUUAUUUUUUUAAUUUAAAAAUUUUAAUUAAAUUAUUGUCAUCUUUGAUAUUUUUUGUCAGAACUUGUCAACUUGUUUCUUUUGUGUUAGUCAUAUACCACGACAUACAAGGGAAACCUAAUUAAUAUGUAAAGUUGACAAAUUUUGACAAAAAAAAAUUAACGAUAGGACUAAGAUUUUUAAAUAAAAACAAGAAGACUUAAUUUUAAAUCUUUUAAGUAUAAGGACUAAAUCUCAAAUUUUAUCAAAGUAUAAGGACAAAUAGAUUAUUUCAACCUUAUUUUGUUUAAAAAGUUUUUUACAUUUAUUAGAUCAAAAUAUUUUGUUAGUGCUUGUACCUUGACAACAUUUAAAAUUUAAUCCUUGUACUUAAAAAGUUAAAAAUUAAGUGUUCUUACUUUUCUAGUUUAAAAAACUUAGUCUUACCAUUAGGAUUGUAAGUAUUUUCUAUUAAAAUAUGUAAACUUGGAUAUAUGCUGAGUAGACUGCUUUCAUAUAAUGUUGCAUAUGAUUGAUUAUAACACCCCAAACCCAGCCUAGACGUUAUGGCCGAAUAUGGCGAUGUCACAUGGAAUGGGAUUUGAAGACAAGAUUGUCGAGUUAAAACCGUUACAGUUAGUUAACUUUUAUUUAAUUCGGAAAAAAAUAAGUACUAGUUGAUUUGCUUUAAAACUUGUCUCUUAGCAUAAGCUUUUGUAACCAAUUAAUUUAGGGAAAAUCGUUUAUCAUUUACGAAAACCUUAGUUUUUAGAAAAACCGUGUUUUGUUGAGUUGCAGUUUUAAAAAAAUUCUAUAAAAAAUAGUAUAAAGUCUCAAAUUUAAAGCCAACCAGUCCGUAGUCCAAAAGUUACAUCAAAAACCCCAAAUAAGUAAUAAUUUCUAGACAUUAACGGAAAAUAGUCUAAAAUUUACGUGUGGCCACCGUCGAGUCCUCCGCUACACCGACCCGUCAAGUCUGGGGAUUACUUGUGCACAUUAAACAAAAAGAGUGAGUUUACAUAAACUCAGUGUGUAAUCCCACAAAAACAAACAAACAAUUAGUAUUCAUAGUGCACAGUUGAACAAUCUUGGGCCUAAACCCUUUUCAGUAUCAGUGACACUUUAGGCCUUAGCCCAUCUCAAUACAGUGUCAAAAAUGCAGUAGGGCCUUAGGCCAUCAUAGUAAAUUCACUUUAUUUAGAAAAAAGAUAUCUCCAAAUUAAUUUGAUCAAUGGUUCACCGCCUUGGAGGCCUGUGUCCAAUGAAAGUAUAUUUUAUAAAUUAACUUAUUAUUAAACAUUAAAAAGAUAUAUGAAAGAAUACUUUUUUAUUAAUUUUGUUUUAAGUCACCAAAAUCUAUAUUGAACAAAUCAAAUUUAGUGACAAAAUUAAAUAAAAUUUUAAGUUUACUUUCAAAGUUAAAUAUGAGUUAAAUGGUAAAUUUACUUAUAUUUUCAAAGUGUAAUGAUAAUGAAGUAUUGAUGGAUGUUAAUUAAGUUUUGAUUGAUAAAUGACUAAAUGUAAUUAAAUAUAUUAUAAGUUAGAAUAUUAUUGUUUGAUAAAUCACUUUCACAUUUUCUUUUGAAGGUUUCAUUACUUGACACUUUACUUUAGAUGCUACUUAAUUUUCCUUUUCUACGUAGAAAAAGGAUGAUUGAAGGAGAUUUCAAAGUUAUCAAUAUGUUGUUAGUCUCUUUUAGAUUCAUUCUAAUCACUCAUAUUAUUUUGUGGUUAAAAUAUGUUGUUAGUCCUUUUUUUCCUAUAAAAAUUUGAUAUCCAUUCCUUAUACGUUAAAGGUUAUUAAUUCAAUUUAAAAAUUUUAAUCCAAUUAUUAUCAUCUUUGAUAUUUUUUCUCAGAAUUUGUCAACUUGCUUAUUUUGUGUUUGUCAUAUACCACGACAUAUAAGGGAAACCUAAUUAAUUUGUAAAGUUGAUAAAUUUUGACAAAAAAAAUUAACGAUAGGACUAAGAUUUUGAAAUAAAAACAAGAAGACUUAAUUUUUAACCUUUUAAAUAUAGAGACUAAAUCUCAAAUUUUAUCAAAGUACAAGGACAAAUAGAUUAUUUCAACCUUAUUUUUUUAAAAAGUUUUUUACCUUUAUUAGAUCAAAAUAUUUUGUUAGUGCUUGUACUUUGACAACAUUUAAAAUUUAAUCCUUGUACUUAAAAAGUUAAAAAUUAAGUCUUCUUCCUUUUGUAGUUUAAAAAACUUAGUCCUACCAUUUGGAUUGUAAGUAUUUUCUAUUCAAAUCUGUUACAACUGCCCCUCUUUGCUCAUUGUCGUGUAAUGGGAAUGGAGCAAAGACUUUAAAAAUGGUCAAUUUUGUCUGGUCUUGAGGAAUCUCGACCUUUUUGGUGCUCCUCUUUUUCAAGUAGCUUCAUUCUAACCCACUACAACUUCAGAGGUAUAAGAUCUGUUACUUCAAUCUACUCCACUGCAACUUCGAGGAGAUUAGACUUGUAGCUUUAAUAUGCUCCACUGUAACUUUAGGGCGAUAAGACUCAUAUCUUCAAUCUACUCCACUGCAACUUUAGGGAGAUAAGAUUUGUAACUUUAAUCAACUCCACUGUAACUUCAGAGAAAUAAGAUUUGUGGUUUUAAUCUACUCUACUGUAACUUUAGGGAGAUAAGAUUUAUGGUUUUAAUUUGAUCUACUACAACUUCAGAGGGAUAAGAUUUGUUAUCUUCAAUCUGCUCCACUGCAACUUCAGGGAGAUAAGAUUUGUAACCUGAUUUAAUCCGACCCACUGUAACUUCAGAGGUAUAGGAUUUGUCUUUAAUCUACUCCACUGCAACUUUAGGGAAAUAAGAUUUGUUAUCUUUAACCGACUCCACUGCAACUUCAGGGAGAUAAGGUUUGUAGCUUUAAUCUGCUCUACUGCAACUUUAGAGAGAUAAGAUUUUCUAUCUUCAAUCUGCUGCACUGCAACUUCAGGGAGAUAAAUUUUGUGCCUUUAUUCUGCUCCACUGCAACUUCAGGGAGAUAAGAUUUGCCACGAUAACUUCAAUCUGUCCCACUGCAACUUCAGGGGUAUAGGAUUUGUGGUUUCACUGAUCUGUUACACUGUUCUUUGUGGAACAUGACCUGUAGAAUCCAUUUUAUGGGCCUAUAUCUGUGCCAAGCGAUUAGGAUGUUAUGAUCAGAAUGAAUCAGAUGCUCCUAACUAGAUGUGUAUGAAUGAUAUUUGCAUGAAUGCAGAAUGUCAUUUUUCGAGAAUGAUCCCCUUUUAAUGCUUAGGUUGACAUUGCUCGUUAUUCAUCAAGGUUCUAUCAUUGACACAUUACCCUGCCUUCUUGCUCAGCUAGUAUUUUUGACAGGAAACUCGAAGAAAUAAUCACAAUUUAAACUAUUUGUUCCCAAACAUUUCUAGCUCUUAGAUUUGGUUAGUUAUGUCCAAUGGUUCUGUUUCAGGUCCUUGUACUAUUUAGAAACCCUUUCAAAGCAAUAUGCAAAAAUCCUUUUACUUGAAUAUUAUUUUACUUGAAUAUUAUUUGUCUAUUAAUCGUUAUUUCAAUGAAAAAUGCUUUAAAAAUAUUGUAACAAUGGACAAGAUUGAAAAAUGCUUUUAAUCGUUUUUGAAACAAUGAUAUAAGAAAAUCCUAAAUGCAUUUGGAUUAAGCGAGAUGAAGAAAUGUUGAAAUUGUUUUUCUCCAAUAGAGACCCACAAUUGUGGAAAACUGUGCCAAUACUCAAAAAGUAUAAUCACAAUUCUACAAGACAUGCAUGUCUUAAAAUUUACAUCAAUAUGUUAAAUUAAGAAUAUUAAAUAAAUAAAUUAUUUAUCAUAUUGUUAUCAUUAAUCUUGAGUUGGUGUCGAGUUAAUUUUUGACACCAACUCAAUCAACAAUAAAAAUAUUCACGAUGUGGGUGAACAAAUAUAUUUUAUAUGUAAAAAAUAUAUGUAAAAAAAUAAGUAAAAAUAUAUUAUUUUUAAACACAUCUUUGUAUUCUAAAUUUGUUGUUUUCAUACACAUAGGUGUGUGAUAGGAUUUGUAGUCAAUAUUUAAGAGAUUUAUUGAGUUGGUGUUACUUUGGUCACCAACUUAAUAAUGUAUUUAUCAAAAGACCCUCAAUUAGGGAGAUGGGCUUGACCGAGCCAACUCAACCUAUAUCAGCUGUUUCUAUUGAGUUUUGCUUGACCCAAAGACCUGUCAAUGUUGUUAAAAUUGAAAUAUUUAACUUGUUGGAGAAGACUAACAGUAGAAAAGUAAGUCAAUGCUAAAGUGAUAUGUCGACGUUUUUGUUUUUUUGUAUUUUUUUUUUAGUGGUAGACGUUUUGUUGUUUUCAAAAUAGUUGAUAAGCCUGGAAUUAUAAAAGAUAAUCAUGAGGUCUUAAAUGCAAUUAUGAUAUUUCUAAAAAGAUAUUUCUCAACAAUUUUUUAAAUUUCUUAAUUGAUGAAAAUAAAUUUAGGUAUUUCCCAAUUUGUAAAAACAUGAUUUUCUUUCUUUUUUUUUUUUUGAAUUUCUAGGUUUUUCUUAGCUUUUUUAUAUUAUUUUGGAAUUUUUGUAAUCUUUUUAUAAUUUAUUAAAAAAUAAUAUAUUUGUAAAAUUUUCUAAACCAAUGAAGGAGAAUGUGAUAAAAUAAGGGGUAAAUGUGUAUUUAAGCCAAAGAAAAUAAAAGAAUAAUAAUGAAAUUCACCUAAAAACAAUUAGAAAGACUAGAUGAACAAUUUGACCUAAAACUUUGUUUGAAAUGAUGUCAUUAAUGUGUUACAUCCUUUCUUAGAGAGAUAAAGAUUAAAUGAAUUUAAGAUACGAUGAAACUUGUAUCUCUUUUCAAUAAUUUAACAUUAUUUCAAUAUUUUCAUCUUGAAAAAGAUCAAACUGAAAAUGAUAUGUCAAAUUUUUUAAAUGAAAAUGUUGAAUAAAAAAAAUACAAGUUUGACGGUAUCCCAAUGUCAUUUAAUCCUUUCUUGCGUAGGGGUAUAACUUUAAGGUGAGUUAUUACAAAGUAACAAAUGGAUAAUAUUAGUGACCAUAUAUUUACUUCAAAAGAUUGGUGACCAAAACUAUAAUUUUAAGCAAACUGUUAUAUUAGUGCACCAAUUGAGUACUUAAUGAUUCCAAAAAAAAUCAAUUCACCUUUUCAUUUAACAAAAACUAUGAGUUGAACGAUUUAACCGUUGAUUUAACUAAUGUUACGGACAGAAAUUACCAAAAGUUGUCACAUGAUAAUAUGAUAAUGUGGCAUGCCACAUAAAAAAAUAAAAAAUAUUUUUAACAAAAAAAUAAUUAAAAAAACAUUUUUAAAUUUACUUGCAACAACCUCGAGUGGGGUGAGCAAAACUCGAUUCGACUCGAAAAAAUAAAAAAAAUCAAAUUUUGAGUUAAACGAAUCGAGUUAUUCGAGUUAAUCGAGUUAUUCGAAUCAACUCAAAUUUUUUUCAAAUUUCGAGUUCGAACCGAGUUGAGUUUUCAAAUUCAAAUAACUCGAAUAAUUCAAAUAAUUCGAAUAUCAAACUAUAAUAUUUUAUAUUUUUACCCCAAACUCCCAAACCUUUUUACUUUUCCCUCAAAAUUCUUUUACUCCUUCCCACUUUCCCCCCAAAACUUUUACUCCUCUCCUCUCCCAAACCCCCAAUCUACCCAAAAUCCAUUUCCCACCAGAAUUUUAUUCUCCCAUUUACUUUUUCUCAAAAUUUUACUCCCAAAAACCCUCAAAAACUUUUUAUUUUCCCCCAAAAUUUUUACUCCCUCCCACUUUUCCCCUAAGACUUUUAAAAUAAUUUUUAUUAAAAAAAUCACAUUUUUACAUUUAAUAUAUUUUUUAAUUCCAAAAUACAUAGUGACAAGAAUCUGAAGAUAAUUGAAACAACUAAGCAAGCAAAGAAGCUAAUCAGUAUAUACAAUAUUAAUAAAUAAAUUAUGAGGUAAUGAAAGUUAAUAAAAAAUUUUGAUUAAGGUGGACAAAUUUUAUUACGAUGGGUGACAGUGGUUACAAUGACCCAAAAUUAUUUUUUAAAAUUUAACUCGAACAAAUAUAUUUGAUUCGAUUCGAAUUUCAUCUCACCCAACUCGAUUCGAGAAAAUUUCAAAUCAAAUUAGGAUGAUAAAAUAUGAUUCGUCAACUUGAUUAACUCGAAAUUUUUUUAUUCGAUUCGAUCGAACGCUCACCCCUACCUUGAGUAACAUCGUCCACAAAAGCUUGAAGGUUCAUGUCCAUAUAUCCACCUUUCUUGGCGGCUUCCCUCGCUAACCCUUUCCAUUUCUCAACAUUUUCCUUCACUUCCAUCCCUUUUCUCUUCAUCCCCCGUCACCAAAGUCAAGCACCUAACUAUCUCAUCACGUUAAUUUAUUGAAAGAAUAUUUUAUAAAUUAACUUAUUAUUAAACAUUAAAAAAUAUUUGAAAGAAUAUUCAUGAUCCUCUGCAUAACUACUUUUACUUGUGAGAGAAAAAAAUGUCUAAUAUUGAAAGAGCCCAUCAAUAAGAAUAUGUUUCUCUCUUUUUGUUUUUUCCUUAUAUUAUUUAUAAAUCCAUUUUUUUAAUAUCAUAAAAAUUGGUAUAAUUAAUUAUCAAUAACCUUUUACUAACCCUUGAACUAGAGGAUAAAACACAUUUGAGCACGAUUAAACUCAAAUUUUCCUACACUGACAAUAACACCAAUACUAACACAACAAAAACUCAGUCAACCAUAUAUUUUUAUUUUUAAAUAUAAUAAAACAUGUACAUCUAGAAUAAAUCUAGUGUAUAUAAAUAUAAUAGUGUACCGGGUUGCGUGGCAAAUUUUGUUAAUUUAAGUUUAGACAUGGAUUGUUGGUUUGAUAAUAGGUGUGUUUUUAUUUUUGUAUUUUUUAUGUCCGUUUUCAUCGACGAUAUUUGUGGAAUUGAACUGCAAUUGGAAAAAAUAAUUUUUAAGAUAUUUUUUAUACACUAAAUGUUAACUCUAUUACAAUUUAUACGUAUUUAAUUUUUUUGGGUUGAACAUAAGCUUAGAAAAUUAAGCGCUCAUCAGUCCAAAUGAAAAUGAUCAUCAGUCACCAGUAACUGUCUAAUAUCUUCUUUAAGCUAGAAUCUCACAUAAUAAGGAGGAUCUUCCAAGAUAACCAGUUGCUCAAUUACGCCUCCAUCUGCCUUAGCUAUGCAAUCAACAACUUUACUGGCAUUCCACUGAAUAUGUCGAAAUUUGACUUCCCAAUUUUUGGAACACCAAUCGUGAAUCUGUCUUACUUCAGCAGCAUUACUUAUUGUAGCCAACCCGUUACAAAUAGUUUCAAUCAACAUUUUGUUGUCACUUUCCAUCUCAACACAUCUGAAUCUUAUUUUCAGUCUUUCAAGAAUAGCUCUGGCUUCAAUCUAGGAGAUAUCAUUCAUACCUAAUACAGAGAUUAAAAUAAUAAAAAAGACUAAUUUAAUCCAUUUCCUAUAAUAAAAAUAUAUCCCAAAUAAUUUAAAAGUGAAUUUUAUGUUUGGGUUUUUGAUGUGUGAAAUAUUGAUAGAUUCUAAUUAAGUUUUGGAUUGAUAAACUAAUAAAUGUAAUUAAAUAUAUUAUAAGAUACAAAAUUAUUGUUUGAAUCUCCAUAAGUCGGUUUAGGUCAGUUUCGUUCGGUGACUUGCCUCUAAGUCUUCUCACGUCUACAUUAAUUCACAUUUUCUUUUGAAUUUCUAUGUAGAAAAAGGAUGUAUGGAAAGGGAAUUAUCAAAACAGGAUUACGAUAGUGUUGAAAAUAAUGAUAUGUUAGGAAAAAAUAUAAAAAAAGGUGUAUAUAAUUAGUAAAUAUAUAAAUUUUGUAGCGUUACUAUAAUUUUAAAAUAUAUUAUUGUUAAAAAAUUUUAAAUUUCAUAUAAAAUUUCAAACAUAUUUUUAUUGAUUUUUUUAGAGAAAAAUAUAUUUUGUUGAUUGUUUUAAGGCUUACAAAUUUUUAAAUAGUUUUAAAUAUUUUAUGAAGUAUUUAAUUUUUAAAAAUAUAUCUUUUUAAAAGGGAAAUUCAUUAAUUCAUUUAAUGAGUAAGAUCAUACAAUUUGAAGGGAGAAAAAUAGCAAACAUGUUGUGCGCGUUGAAGGACAAGCUCUAUCAAUAUAACAAAAACUUCAGUUUCAGCAUCAAUAGAUCAUUAUGGCACGUUGAUGAUCAGCUCUGUCAGAACUCAAGCAUAAUAUAUUAAGAAUGAUUGCUAAUACUUAAUAUAAUAAGGAAAUCAGCAAUAGAUGGUCCAAAGCACUUGGAUAUAUGUUGAGUAGACUGCCUUCAUAUAAUGUGCAUAUGAUUGAUAAUAAAAAACCUAUUAAGUUGAAAUUUUUUAAUGGGAUUAAAAAUGAUUGGACUAGAAUUUUUAAAUUAGAAAAGUAGGAGGAUUGGAUUUUUUUACUUUAAAUUACAGGGACUAAUAGCAUAUUUUAAACAAUUUAUUAUUCUGAAAAUAAAAGAAUAUAUAGUAAUUAAUAAAAUAUAUUUUUUAAGUUUUUUUAGUGGAUUAUGUGGAGUAAUGUGAAGAAAAUUUAGGACAAAUUUUGAAAAUUUGCUUCUUUGUACGUAUUUUUUAAAGAAGACUUGACAUUUAUUUUGAAACUUCUUCAAAACUUUGCUUUCCUUUUAAUUUUAGGGUAGUCUUAAAAAUCAAGUUUAUCAAGUGUGCGAGGGUUGAAACAUAUUAAAGCAUGCUCUUUGGGCUUUUCUUCAUCAUCCAAACUAUUUUAUCAACUCAACUUCCCUUUUCCUACUUUUUUUUUUAUUUUCUUGGCUUAUUCCAUCUUGCAAUCAUGAACUACAAGACUUGCUUUCAUCUUCUUUUAGCUUUAUUCAUACCAUGUUCCGUACUUUGCUUGGCUAUGACAGUCAGGAAUCUCAACUCCGAUUAGUUUGCACUUCUCGAGUUUAAGGAUCGCAUUGCCGGUCCUCAAAAUGUCUUGGCAAACAAUUGGACGGCCUCAACCGCUGUUUGCAAUUGGAUUGGUGUUUCUUGUGGCAUCCUCCAUAAAAGAGUUAUAGCUUUGAAUCUUACAAGCAUGAAUCUUAGGGGUACUAUCCCUCCACACCUUGGAAAUCUUUCAUUUCUACUCUCUCUCGACUUGAGUAGCAACCAUUUCUAUGGCCAUCUCCCUAAAGAAUUGGGCCAAUUGCAUCGUUUGAGGAUCCUUCAAUUAAGCUACAACCGUCUUAAUCGGGAAAUUCCGUCAUGGCUUGGGAACUUACAGAGAGUUCGAAGGCUGAAAAUGAAAAAUAAUAACUUUACAGGCACAAUCCCUGAAACACUUGUUAACAUGUCUAAUCUAGAGAUCUUGAACUUGGGAUUCAAUCAAUUAUCAGGUCAGGUUCCAUCUUCCAUCUUCAAGAUUUCUUCUCUGAAGAUUAUUAUUCUCUCCAGUAAUAGCCUAUCAGGUGGUUUGCCUAGUGAUAUGUGUCAACAUCUUCCCAAGCUUGAAGUGCUUUACUUGUAUAGCAAUGAGUUAUCUGGUAACAUUUCGUCAAGUAUGGGCAAAUGCAGCAGCCUUAAAAAUUUGUCGUUGUCCAAUAAUCAAUUGACAAGGAUCAUUCCAAAAAGUAUUAGAAAUCUGACACGACUCCAGGAAUUAUAUUUGGGGUUUAAUAAUCUAGAAGGUAAUCAAUAUCCUUGAUUUCUUGAAUUUAAAGAAUUUUUUAUUAAAGUGUUUAAUUUGUAAUAGAUAACAAAAGGAAUAACGUUUUAUUUCAUUCGAGGCAAAAUAGAUAAUUUGAUGAAAACAUAUGCUGAAAAACAUUGGUUUUUCGACUGUCUGCAGGUCAAAUUCCUAAGGAAAUUGGUAAUCUUCUUAGUCUGGAAAUGCUUAAUAUUCAAGCAAUUAAAGGCCUUACAGGUCAGAUUCCAACUUCGAUCUUCAACAUUUCUUCUCUGAAGACCAUUGAUCUCUCCAACAAUAGCCUAUCAGGUAGUUUGCCUAAUGAUAUGUGUCAACAUCUUCCCAAGCUUGAAGGGCUUUACCUGGGUUUGAAUGAAUUAUCUGGUAACGUUCCAUCAAGUAUGGGCAAAUGCAGCAACCUUAAAAUUUUGUGGUUGUCCUCUAAUCAAUUGAUGGGGAUCAUUCCAAAAAGUAUUGGAAAUCUGACACGACUCAAAGAAUUAUAUUUGGGGCUGAAUAACCUAGAAGGUAUUAAAUUUUCUUGGUUUUUGAGUUUAAAGUAUUUUUUUAAUAAAAGAGUUUGAUUAGUAAUAGAUAACAAAAGUAAGAGCAUUUUAUUUCAUUCAAGGCAAAAUAGUUCAAAAUAGUUAAUUUGAUGAAAACAAAUAUGCUUAAAAUAUUAAAAUCUAACAUUUGCAAAUUAUGUAAAACAAAAAAUAAAACCUCUUUGACUUAUGCUAACAAAAUAGGUAGUUUGACACCUUGAUUUUUCGACUAUGUGUGCAGGCCAAAUUCCUGAGGAAAUCGGUAAUCUUCUUGGUUUGGAAAUGCUUAAUAUUCAAGAAAUUAAAGGCCUUACAGGUCAGAUUCCAACUUCGAUCUUCAACAUUUCUUCUCUAAAGACCAUUGAUCUCUCCAACAAUAGCCUAUCAGGUAGUUUGCCUAAUGAUAUGUGUCAACAUCUUCCCAAGCUUGAAGGGCUUUACCUGGGUUUGAAUGAAUUAUCUGGUAACGUUCCAUCAAGUAUGGGCAAAUGCAGCAACCUUAAAAUUUUGUGGUUGUCCUCUAUCAAUUGAUGGGGAUCAUUCCAAAAAGUAUUGGAAACCUGACACGACUCAAAGAAUUAUAUUUGGGGUUGAAUAACCUAGAAGGUAUUAAAUUUUAUUGGUUUCUGAGUUUAAAGUAUUUUUUUAAUAAAAGAGUUUGAUUAGUAAUAGAUAACAAAAGUAAGAGCAUUUUAUUUCAUUCAAGGAAAAAUAGUUCAAAAUAGUUAAUUUGAUGAAAACAAAUAUGCUUAAAAUAUUAAAAUCUAACAUUUGCAAAUUAUGUAAAACAAAAAAGAAAACCUCUUUGACUUAUGCUAACAAAAUAGGUAGUUUGACACCUUGAUUUUUCGACUAUGUGUGCAGGCCAAAUUCCUGAGGAAAUCGGUAAUCUUCUUGGUUUAGAAAUGCUUAAUAUUAAAGCAAUUAAAGGCCUUACAGGUCCGAUUCCAACUUCGAUCUUCAACAUUUCUUCUCUAAAGACCAUUGAUCUCUCCAACAAUAGCCUAUCAGGUAGUUUGCCUAAUGAUAUGUGUCAACAUCUUCCCAAGCUUGAAGGGCUUUACCUGGGUUUGAAUGAAUUAUUUGGUAACAUUCCAUCAAGUAUGGGCAAAUGUUGCAACCUUAAAAUUUUGUGGUUGUCCUCUAAUCAAUUGAUGGGGAUCAUUCCAAAAAGUAUUGGAAAUCUGACACGACUCAAAGAAUUAUAUUUGGGGCUGAAUAACCUAGAAGGUAUUAAAUUUUCUUGGUUUUUGAGUUUAAAGUAUUUUUUUUAUAAAAGAGUUUGAUUAGUAAUAGAUAAUAAAGUAAGAGCAGUUUAUUUCAUUCAAGGCAAAAUAGUUCAAAAUAGUUAAUUUGAUGAAAACAAAUAUGCUUAAAAAUAUUAAAAUCUAACAUCUGCAAAUUAUGUAAAACAAAAAAGAAAACCUCUUUGACUUAUGAUAACAAAAUAGGUAGUUUGACACCUUGAUUUUUCGACUAUGUGUGCAGGCCAAAUUCCUGAGGAAAUCGGUAAUCUUCUUGGUUUAGAAAUGCUUAAUAUUAAAGCAAUUAAAGGCCUUACAGGUCCGAUUCCAACUUCGAUCUUCAACAUUUCUUCUCUGAAGGCCAUUGAUCUCUCCAGCAAUAGCCUAUUAGGUAGUUUGCCUAAUGAUAUGUGUCAACAUCUUCCCAAACUUGAAGUGCUUUACUUAGAAGAUAUUGAAUUUUCUUCGUUUCUUUAAUUGAACAGUUUAGAAGGCAUGUUUUUCACUUCAAUUUUUGACUAUGUGUGCAGGUCAGAUUCCAUCAAGAAUUUUUAAUUCAACUACGCUCGAAGAAAUAUAUCUAUUUAACAACAAAUUAGAAGGUAUGUUUUUCACUUUAAUUUUUUCCUAACUCCAAAAACAUUGUGUUCAAUUUGUUUCUUCUAUUUAUGUCAUAUAAUUUUAUCAUUUUAAUCUAAUAAUAAACAAUAAAUUAUUUGAGGGUACUUUAGUUUUUUAAUAUCAGUUAUAUUAUUUGAGGGUACUUUAGUUUUUUAUUUUAAAAAAUUAUGGUGAUAUAUAUUUGAAUCCACAUCAAUACAUAAAACCAUAAAUUUAUCACAUAAUUUUAUGAUGUCACAAAUUAACUCGACACCAACUUAGGAAUUGACAACAACAUCAUCAUAAAUAACUGUAUUCAUUUAGUAUUCUUAAUUUGAUGUAUUCAUAUGUUUAAAUUAUGCUUUACUUACAGUUUAAUCUAUUUUUAUUUUAAUAUGGUAGAUAUGCCAUGUGUUAUUAUUAAAUAGUUUCAAAUUAUGCAUUUCAUUAUUUAUCAUAAGUUAUUUUAAAACACAAAUUUAUGUUCUAAAUAUGUGGUUCUCAUACACGUAUGUGUAUCAUAAAGUUUCUAAUUAUAAUUUAAGUAUAAAGUAAUUCAAUAUAAAUUUUAAAUUUUUAUUAUGUGUUUUUUAAAAUAAUUUUUUAAUAGAAUCAAAAUUGUUAUUUAUAAGGAUGCUAAAUUUUCUUAUGAAGUGAAUUUAUUUAACCAAAUAUUUUAGUAAAACCAAAAUUCUUAUCCAUACAUAUGAUAAAUCUUAAAAGUAAUAAAAAAUAUUUAAAAUAAUAAAUUCAAUAAUAUGGUAAACAACAAAGAUUAUAUAAUUAUCAGUUCAAAAGUUUCUCAAAAUCCAUACAUUUAUUUAUAUAUAUAUAUAUAUAUAUAUAUAUAUAUAUAUUUAAUGGCUUAAUGCACAGUUUAUUCCCUAGAGCAUAUUGCUUCUUCUCUUUUUCUUAACUUUGGUCCUUAAUGUAUUGUUGCCCACUUUAGUACCUAAUAUUAUCAAACAUUUCUAGUGUAGUCUCUAACAUUAUCAGGUGUUGUUGGUUUAGUCCAUUGGACGUUAAAAAAUUUAACUAACCAUAAAUUGUCAUGUGGCAUAUGAUGACAUCAUGAUGGCAUCAUCAUCUAGAAAAAAACCAAAACAAUCUUUAAAAUUUCAAAUAAAAUUAUAAAAAAUAACUACAUUAUAAAUAUAUAAUUGUUUUAAAAAAUAAAAUUUUUAAAUUUUUAAUAAAUAAUAAAAUUAUUAAAAAUUGUUAGAAAUUUUUAAAUAUUGUAAAAAAUUAUUAAAAAUUAUUAGAAAUUAUAAAAGACGAUAAAAAUUAAAAAAAGAGAGUUAAAAACUAGUAAAAAUUGCGUAACUUGAAAUAAAGUAUAUAUUCGCUAAUAUUUUUAAAAAUAAAAAUAAAAAUUUGAUAUUAAAAUUGUAUAUUAUGGGGCAAUCAAUUUUUAUAAAAAAAUAUUUUAAUAAAUUUUUAAUAUAUUAAAAUAUAUCAAAAUUUAGUACUUUACCAACUUCCCAAUUCAUAAAUAGGAGAAUAACGCAAUUCAGCAUACUUGAACCCACAUUCUCCUACAUUGGUAACAAUGCACAUGCCAGUCAGGCUAAGACUCAAUCGACAAUUCUUUAGAAUAAUUAAACAUGCAACAAUAGUUCUUAAAAUAUUAGUCUAGACACAAAUAAUUUAUCUUGAAAUAGUAAAACAAUAUUUAGAAUAAUUAAAAACAUAAAUAUCAAGUUUAUUUUAUUUUUCAAAAUGCCAUACUAACACAAAAACUUUUUAACAGUUUUAAUAAAUGAACCUAAAAUUUUAAAUUCAAAAAAUAGAGAGACUAAAUCACAGAAAAUAAAAAAAUAUAAAGAUUAAAUUUCAAAUAUAUGAAAAAUACAAAAAUUUUGAGCAAAUAAUAAUCUUUAAAUUUUACAGUAUAAUUUAAUAAAAAUAAAUAAUUAACCCAAUAGAUAAAAAUCAUACACAUUCUCAUGCCAAACUUUUAUUUUUAUUUUAUUUCAAGUUUUACAAUAUUUUAAAAAAUUAUUAGUGUAUUAUAUGUUUUGUCUAUACAAAUCACAAGGACUAAUUACUACUCAAAACUUCUUAUUAUGUCUCAACCUUCUAAUUGAUUUCAUCACAUUUUUCCAUGCCAAAAUUUUAUUCUUAAUUGAUUUAAAGUUUUACAGUUUUUAUUUUAAUGUAUUAUAUAUUUUGUGAAUUUGGUAUUCAAUGAAUAUGUAUACUAAAAGAUGCUAUUUUUCAGGUAAUUUACCACCCAUCACCAAUGCUCCAAAGCUUGAGAUUCUUUUAUUGUGGGGAAAUAAUCUUAGCGGAAACAUCCCAACUCUAUCUCCAAUGCUUCCAUGCUUAAGAUUCUAGCCUUGGGAGAUAACUUAUUCUCUGGCCCCAUCCCUAAAAUGCUUGGUAGCUUAAAACACCUUGAAUUGCUCGAAAUCUUUGACAAUAAUUUGAUCACAGGAUCUGCUACUGAUCAUGAGUGGAGCUUUCUUUCUUCUUUGACGAAUUGCAGGCAUUUGAGAAAUAUAGCGGUUUCACGAAAUCCAUUGAGUGGCGUUCUUCCUACUUAUAUCGGGAACCUUUCAAAAUCCCUUCAAUACUUUUAUGCCUCUAUUUGUGAGCUUCAAGGCAUUAUUCCUAUGGAAAUAGGUAACUUAAACAACCUAUUUCUUUUAGAACUUGGCUAUAAUAAAUUAAGUGGAUUCAUUCCAACAUCAAUAGGAGGACUGCGAAAUCUCCAAAGUCUAGGUCUUUCCUCUAAUAAAUUAGGAGGGCCUAUCUUAGAAAGCCUCUGUGGUUUGGAGAGACUAUACAAGAUGCAUUUAGGGUGGAAUAAGUUGCAUGGAUCCAUACCCUCUUGUUUGGGUAAUAUUACUUCUUUGGGAUAUCUUUACUUAGAUUCCAACAAAUUGAGUUUCGCAAUACCCUCAACUUUGUGGAAUCUUAAAGAUAUCUUAGAAAUAGAUUUAUCAUCAAACCAUCUUCACAAUUCACAUGCUAUUGAUGUUGGAAAUUUGAGGAGUCUACUGAAACUAAAUUUAUCAAGGAAUCUUCUCACGGGCGAUAUCUUAUCCAUAUUUGGGGGUCUUCAAACUUUGGUUUCAUUAGAUUUAUCAAAUAAUAUACUACAUGGUCAUAUCCCUAAAUCAUUUGAUGGGUUGAUUAGUUUGGAAUUCUUGGAUUUAUGCAAUAACAAUCUCUCUGGAGUCAUUCCCAAAUCUUUGGAAAAGCUUUUAUAUCUAAAGUAUUUUAAUGUGUCUUUCAAUAGACUUGAAGGGGAAAUUCCCAGCAAAGGAUAUUUUUCAAACUUUUCUAGCACAUCAUUCAUGAAGAAUUAUGCACUUUGUGGUCCACCUAGAUUGCUAGUCCCACCUUGCAAAAACGACAUCCACAAAAACUCCCAAAUGAUUAUAUUGCAUACUUUUAGGUAUGGUUUACCAACAAUUGGUAUUGUCGUAGUACUAAUAGUCUUAACUAUUAUGUAUAGAAGAUGCCAAAGAAGGAGUACAACUCUACCAAUCAAAGAUGAUUUGUUGUCUUUGAAAACACCGAGAAGAAUUUCACAUGCUGAACUUUCACGAGCAACUAAUGGAUUUGAGGAAAGAAAUAUGCUUGGUUCUGGGAGUUUUGGAUAUGUAUAUAAAGGGAGGCUUUCAGAUGGAAUGGAAGUUGCAAUAAAAGUUUUCAAUUUGCAAACAGAGGGAGCAUUUAGGAGUUUUGACAUUGAAUGUGAUGCUAUGCGUAAUAUAGUUCAUCGUAAUAUUGUGAAGGUCAUUACUUGCUGCUCAAGUGUUGACUUCAAAGCCUUAGUGCUUGAUUACAUGUCUAAUGGAAGCCUUGAGAAAUGCUUACAUGCUGAAAAUUGUUUCCUUGAUAUCAUACAAAGGAUCGACAUAAUGAUAGAUGUUGCGGUAGCUAUAGAACACCUCCACAAUGGACAUCCAACACCUAUAAUUCAUUGUGACAUAAAACCAAGCAAUAUUUUACUAGAUGAAGACAUGGUUGCACAUGUUGGAGAUUUUGGCGUUUCCAAAUUGUUGGGAGAAGGUGAAGUAAUGAAGCAAACCAUGACUCUUGCAACUAUCGGGUAUAUGGCACCAGGUGAAUUCUUUUUUAUUUUUGUAUGAUUAUUUUCCUAAUUUGCAUUUUAUAUUUUUGUUUCAUGUGUAUGUGGAUAUAUAUUUGAAUAAGCAUUUUAGAAAUAAUUGAGGAUGAAUGAUGUUCUAAUUAUACUUGAAAUGCAGAAUUUGGAUCAGCAGGAAUUGUUUCUAUAAAAUCUGACGUCUAUAGUUAUGGGAUCGUACUUAUAGAAACUUUCACAAAGAAAAAGCCAACUGAUAAUGUGUUUGUUGAAGAAGAGACUAUAAGGCAUUGGAUGGAAAGAUCAUUGCCUAAAGGAGCGAUAGAAAUUGCAGAUGUUGAUUUAUUAAGAAGAGAGGAUGAGUAUAUUGUUGUUAAAGCAAAUUGUAUUUCAUCAAUCAUGGAGUUGGCUUUGAAUUGUUCAGCUGAGUUACCAGAAGAAAGAAAAGAUAUGAAAGAUGUUGUGGUUGAGCUGAAGAAAAUCAAACAAAGGCUGCUAAACAACAUCGAACAUUUUUAACAGAGAUGGUGAGUAAUGAGUACACUUGUGGUUAUUAAUUCACACUUAAUUUUAUCUUUAAUUCAACAUCUUUAAUCUAUUCUGGAAUUUUAAUCAUAUAUAUAAUAUGUCGGUAUUCGUAAAAAUUAAUAAACUAUUUUUUUCUUUUGCUCUCACGUACUAGGCUCUCUUCAAAAUUAAUAUUCUAUACUUUUAUAAUUUUUAAAGGAUUAAAUCAAAGUUUUAUCAUUUUGGGAGGGGCCAAAGUAUAAUUUUACGUUUAUUAAUUUAAAAUUUUAAAAAUUUUAAAGGGCCUAAAUGAAAAAUUUUUAAUUUUAAGGGGGGUCGGGACCCCUGCCAACUCCCCUAGGUACGGCCCUAUUAACAAAGCCGUCAACAAAUGAUAUUGUUCUCAUGUUAGGGUGUACGGCCCUAUUAACAAAGCCCUCAACAAAUGGUAUUGUUCUCAUGUUAGGGUUUUGUCUCUUGAUUCUGCUAAGAGCCCUAUGGGUUCAUGGAGAUGGUUGCAAGGUAAAGGCUACACCUGCAUUGGUUGGUAGUUUGAAUCCCUACGCACAUAUCCUCAAUGAUUAUUCCGCAGAGGCUAGGGAUAAAAUCCCGACAUAGGGACACUACCAUUAGUUGUUGAGGGCAGCACCGAUUGCCUAGCAAACAACAUUCAAAAGACUUCUCCUAAAAGAGUCGAUCUCCCUCAACAAAAAGUCAAGUACAAGGUCUAUUAUGGGUGAUCAUAAAUUAUACAAUCAAUGACAUAAGUUUUAUCGAUUUUCAAGUAUUUUCUAACUCUUUCUCUUUAUUUUCUUCUAAAUUUUUCUUCUACAAAACAAAGAGACUUUUUUCUCGAUGAAAUUUGUAUUGGGCUAUCAAUGUUUCAUGGAUUAUGUUGUUUUUCUAAUGUAAGAUUGGGUUUUGCCAAUAUUGCAUGCAAAAUCAAAGUAAUAUUUGCCAAUGCUUAGCUUAAUCAACUCUAAUGCUGCUGUGGAUUUGAUUUGUCUUUACAGUACUUAGAGAUUAUUUUGUGAAUGUUAAAUUGUCUUUGGGCCUUUCAAAGAAAUUCAGCAAGCCUACAAGUUAUUUAAUUACUUUUGGACCUCCCAUGAAAUUUUUAUGUAUAAAACAUACAAUAUAUGGCUUGAAUUUCAUAAUUAUAUUAUAUAUAAUGAAUCAUUUGUUUCUUUUUCACCCUCUCCACCAAAAUAACCAUUAACAUCAUCAAAAUCACCCGUAUGAUCCCAAGGUUUCUUGUCUUGUCUAAACAUGUUUUUUCUUUUAUAUUUUGUUAAUAAAAAAUACAAAUUUAUUUUAAACUUUCAAAAAUUUAGAAUUUAAACCUCUAAAAUAGAAAUUUUUAUUUGUCAAACUUCCACAAAUACAAACCUAUAUAUUGUUGUUAAUCCAAAUCGAAUAUUGGGUUUAGGGUUGAAGCAAAUUUAAAGAGGUAGACAAAGGUAUUGGCCCAACCAAAAUGGGAAAAAAAUUCUAUUAAGACCCUUUAAAAAUUAAUAAAUUAAUACAUGAUAAUUUCUCCAAAAAUUCUACUUCUCCAAAAAUUGAAUGUGAAACAGCAAAUUCAACGUAGACUUUUUUUUUUAAUCGUUUUUGAAACAAUGAUAUAAGAAAAUCCUAAAUGCAUUUGGAUUAAGCAAGAUGAAGAAAUGUUGAAAUUAUUUUGCUUAAUUAGAGACCCACAAUUGUGGAAAACUGAGUCAAUACUCAAAAAGUAUAAUCACAAUUCUACAAGAUAUGUGGUUUUAUCAUACUCACAAGGUGGGUGAACAAAUAUAUUUUAUAUGUAAAAAUAUUUAUUUUUAAACACAUCUUUAUAUUCUAAAUUUGUGAUUUUUAUACACAUAAAUGUGUGAUAAAAUUUGUAGUUAAUAUUUAAAAGUUUUAUUGAAUUUGUGUUACUCUCAAUCAAGUUACCAACUCAGUAAUGUAUUUACCAAAAGCCCCUCAAUCAAGGACAUGGGCUUGACCGAGUCAACUCAACCUAUAUCAUCUGUUUCUAUUGAGUUUUGAUUGACCCUAACCCAAAGACCUGUCAAUGUUGCUAAAAUUGAAAUAUUUAACUUGUUGGAGAAGACUAAUAGUAGAAAAGUAAGUCAAUGCUAAAGUGAUAUGUCGACGGUUUUUUUUUUUUUUUUUUGGUGUAAGACGUUUUGUUGUUUUCAAAAUAGUUGAUAAGCCUGAAAUUAUAAAAGAUAAUCAUGAGGUCUUAAAUGCAAUUAUGAUAUUUCUAAAAAGAUAUUUCUCAACAAUUUUUUUUGAAUUUCUUAAUUGAUGAAAACAAAUUUAGGUAUUUCCCAAUUUGUAAAAACAUGAUUUUUUUUUUUGAAUUUCUAGGUUUUUCUUAGCUUUUUUAUAUUAUUUUGAAAUUUUUGUAAUCUUCUUAUAAUUUCUUAAAAAAUAAUAUAUUUGUAAAAUUUUCUAAACCAUAUAUACCAAUGAAGGAGAAUGUGAUAAAAUUAGGGGUAAAUGUAUAUUUAAGCCAAAGAAAAUAAAAGAAUAAUAUUGAAAUUCACCAAAGACAAUUACAAGGACUAGAUGAACAAUUUGACCCGAAACUUUGUUUGAAAUGAUGUCAUUAAUGUGUUACAUCAACUUUCUUAGAGAGAGAUAAAGAUUAAAUGAAUUUAAGAUACCAUGAAUCUUGUAUUUCUUUCCAAUACUUUCAUCUUGAAAUGAUAUGUCAAUUUUUUUAAAUGAAAAGGUUGAAAUGGCAUUAGAUGAAUAAAAAAAGAUACAAGUUUUAUGGUAUCCCAAUGUCAUUUAAUCCUUUCUUGCGUAGGGGUAUAAUUUUAAGGUGAGUUAUUACAAAUUAACAAAUGGAUAAUAUUGGUGACCAUAUAUUUACUUCAAAAGUUUGGUGACCAAAACUAUAAUUUUGAGCAAAUAAUAGUGACAGAAUUUGUGAUUUUCCAUUUUUUUUUCAUUUUCAAAAAAUUUUGGUUUUACAUUUUAGGCAAAUGACAAAUUUAGCUCUAACAUUUUUUUCAUUUUACCUCGAUUUUUUUUAUUGCUAUAGCCCUCAACAGUAACAAAUUAAAAAAAUCAAUUUAGCGUUUAUGAAAAAGAGUGCACCAAUUGAGUACUCAAUGAUUUCAAAAAAAUCAAUUGACCUCUUCAUUUAACAAAAACUGUGAGUUGAACGAUUUAACCAUUGAUAUAACUAAUGUUACGGACAGAAAUCACCAGAAGUUGUCACAUGAUAGUAUGAUAAUGUGGCAUGCCAUAUAAAAAAAAUAAAAAAAUAUUUUUUAACAAAAAAUAAUUUAAAAGAACAUUUUUAAAUUUACUUGCAACAACUUUGAGUAACAUCAUCCACAAAAGCUUGAAGGUUCAUAUCCAUAGAACCACCUUUCAUGGCGGCUUCCCUCGCUAACCCUUUCCAUUUCUCAACAUUUUUCUUCACUUCCAUCUCUUUUCUCUUCAUCCCCCAUCACCAAAUCCAAGCACCUAAUGAUCUCAUCACGUUACUUUAUUGAAAGAAUAUUUUAUAAAUUAACUUAUUAUUAAACAUUAAAAAAUAUUUGAAAGAAUAUUUAUGAUAUAAUAUAUUUAUAAUAUUAUAAAUAUAAUUUAUGCUUUAAUUAUAAGGAAAAUUUUGAAAGAUGAAUUUAUUAUAAUGUGUAGAUAUAUAAUUAAUGAUUCCGAAUCUUAAUAUAUACAGAAUAUAUAUGAUAUAAUUUUUUUUGUUAAUAAUUAAAUAUCAUUAAAUCAUUUUGUAAGUUUAUUAUAAUUUUUAUAAAUGAUACAAAAAAUAAUUUAAAGCAUAUUAUUCUAUAAAAAUAUUAAAUUUAAUAAAUCAUAUUCUACUGAAAGGUGCAAAAUCGAUACAAGAAUAUAAUAUAAGAGGUUACAAUUCUUGUUGUAGAUAUAUAAUUUACUACUAAUAUUUCAAUAAGUUCAUUCUUUAUACUUUAAAACUUAUAAAUUUAAUCUCUUACUUUUUCAAUUUAAAAAUUUUAAUCCAGUUAUUAUCAUCUUUGAUAUUUUUUAUCAGAACUUGUGAACUUGUUUAUUUUGUGUUAGUCAUAUACCACAACAUAUAAGGGAAACCUAAUUAAUAUGUGAAGUUGACAAAUUUUGACAAAAAAAUAACAAUAGGACUAAAAUUUUUAAAUAAAAACAAGAAGACUUAAUUUUUUAAUCUUUUAUGUAUAAGGACUAAAUCUCGAAUUUUAUCAAAGUAUAAGGACAAAUAGAUUAUUUCAACCUUAUUUUGUUUAAAAAGUUUUUUACAUUUAUUAGAUCAAAAUAUUUUGUUAGUGCUUGUACCUUGACAACAUUUAAAAUUUAAUCCUUGUCCUUUAAAACUUAAAAAUUAAGUCUUCUUACUUUUCUAGUUUAAAAAACUUAGUCCUACCAUUAGGAUUGUAAGUAUUUUCUAUUCAAAUCUGUAAACUUGGAUAUAAUGUUGAGUACACUGCCUUCAUAUAAUGUUGCAUAUGAUUGAUAAUACAAAAUAAAAAUUAUGUUAAAAAAAAAAGAAAUUAAAGAUCCAAACAACAAAAUUAAAAAAAAUAUAUAUAUAUAGUCGAUGCACACAUUAUUAUUUUUAUGCAUCUUUUACUAUACAUUCUUUCACAUGACUAAUUAUGAUGUUCAUAAAUCUAACAAGUUCAAUUAAUCAAUAUAAGUUAUCAAAUUAAAUUAAUUAAUUAAUAAUAAGUUAUUAAAUUAAAGUAAUGAAUUUAUAAGUUUAUAAUGUUCCAAAUUCAUAGUAAAGUAUUUAAUCAGGGAACUUAAUAGUUUAUUGAAUUGAUAUAUUUAAUUCCAUUCAUUACAAAAUUACAUAUUUAAAUUCAUAUGAAAUUUCAAACAUACUUUUAUUGAUUUUUUAGAGAAAAAUAUACUUUGUUGAUUGUUUUAUGGCUUAUAAUUUUUUAAAUAGUUUUAAAUAUUUUAUAAAGUAUUUAAUUUUUAAAAUAUAUCUUUUUAAAAGGGAAAUUCAUAAUUCAUUUAAUGAAUAAGAUCAUACAAUUUGAAGGGAGAAAAAUAACAAACACGUUGUAUGCGUUGAAGGACAAGCUCUAUCAAUAUAACAAAAACUUCAGUUUCAGCUUCAAUAGAUCAUUAUAGCACGUUGACGAUUGACUCUGUCACAACUCAAGCAUAAUAUAUUAGGAAUGAUUGCAAACACUUAAUAUAAUAAGGAAAUCAGCAAUAAAUGGUCCAAAGCACUUAAAAAUAUGUUUUUAGCUCACUUUAAAUUUCAAAAAGACAUUAUUUUUAAUAAUUUUUUAAUUUUUGUUAAGUGUGAUUAGUCAAAAAAAUACCUUUUAUACAGAGAUUUUAAAAUUCUUUUGUAACAUCCCGAAAUAGGGCCUAAAUGGAACAAUGGUUGUGAAACCACGAAUCUGAGAUAGAAAAGUUUAUUUUAAUUUAUUUUUAUGAUUUACCGAGUGAUUAGAUACAGGUAUUAGAGUAUUGAUAAGAAAUUUUAUUAAAUUGCAUGCCUAAAUCGUCUAUUAGGAUUUAAUUGCAAAAGUGGGUAAAUAUGAGUUUUAGAUGAUAAAGGAUUUAUUUGAAGUGCAUAAUUGAAGUAGAGGUCCUUAAAUGGUAAUUAGACCAUUAGAUUUUUAUGGAUAAAUUUUGGCAUGCAUAAAUAGAAAUAACUAAAGUUUUAAAUGAAGGGUAUUUUAGUCAUUGAAUAAUAAAAAGAAUAAAAAGGGAAAAAGAAGGCCAAAAAUAUCAUCUUCUCCAUAAGCUUGGCCGAAUAUUAAGGGACACCAUAGCUAGGGCUUUCACACUUUCUCAAGCUCAUAGUAAGUGAUUCCAAUCCCCAUUUUUAAUGUUCUUUACGUUUUUGGAGUCCCGGUAACUUGAUUUAGCUUAUUCUAGCAAUAAUUUAACCUAGGGUUUAUAUUUGGAAAAAUACCCAUAGGUGAAAUGUGUUUAUUUUGAUGUUUUAUGAUAGAAUAUGAAGUUUGAAAUUAUGUUAAACAACUUUUGCUAAGUGAUUUUAAGUGAAAAUGAGUAAAACGACAUAAUCUGUAAAAAUACCUAAUGUUCAUAAGUAAGUGCUAGAGUGGGAAUUCGAUGUUUCCAUAGAAGAAAAAAAUGUUCAGCAUGUUAUAAAACAAAAUAAUAUGGGAUGAAGUUUAAUUUCUGAGCUUUGGGGCAAAAGUGUAAAUAUGCAAAAGUUUACGGGUAAAACUGUAAUUUUUCCAAAAUUAAGUCAAUGACUAUUUUGAUGAAUGUGAGUAUUAAAUAAGCUAAAUUUGUUAUUAUAGAUCAAAAAGAAUGAAAUCUAGAGUUAGACCGGGGAAAGAAAAAGGUUGAGGACUAAAGUGUUAGAUUUGAUCACAUUUUGUACCAAGGUAAGUUUACAGUAAAUAAAUGCAACAUUUCAUUAAUUAUUAUUAAUGUUGUUAUUUAAUGUUGACUCAAGUAUGAAAUGACAGAAAAUUAGUAUUAAAAAGUCUCGUUGAAACAUUAGAAAUGUAUCGGAUACAAAUGUCAUGACAUUUGGGUAAAGAGAUCCCAUGUAAGACCAUGUCUGGGACAUGGAGUUGGCACCAAGAUGAGAGGUCCCCCGUAAGACCAUGUCUGGGACAUGGCAUGGGCACCGAUAUGAGAACUCUCAUAUGUAAGACCAUAUCUAGGAUAUGACAUUGGUAGUACAGGAAACAUCCCAUGUAAGACCAUGUCUGGGACAUGGCUUUGGCAUGUUAUUAUCAGAUAUGAGACCCAAGUAUCAUUAUUAUUCCAAUGUGGCUCAACGGGCUAGAAAACAUAUUUUGUUCUAUGAAAGUUCAAGUAAAAGUAUAAUUAGCAACUUCAGUUGAGUUAUAAGAGUUAAGAACAUAUUAUGUUAUAAGAGUUAUAAGAGUUGUAAUCUUAAGCUAUCUAAGUAGGUAAGUAAGUAAACAAGUAAAUAAGAGUAAGUAAAGAGAAAAUUUAAGAACAUGAUACUUGCAUAUCAUUAUUUAUGUUAAAUAAUGUCAUUUAUUUACUUGUAAACUUACUAAGCUUUAUGCUUACUUCUUUGAUUUCUUCUUCUUUCAUAUAGUAUUAUCAAGCAAAGUCGGGAUCUUGAAGACGUCGGAGAGCGUUCACACUAUCAACCACCACAACUCGGUAUUUUAAGACGAUAAAUGUUUUGAGCUAUGGCAUGUAUAGGGACUUGGUCAUUUCGAUUGUAUAUUCUUAAGAUAUGGCCAAAAGAUGAUAUGUAAAUAUUUGAUGAUGAGUAGUUAUUAAAAUAGCUAAGUAUGAAGGUGUUUGUUGUUAUAAAUGUCUAGGUGAUAAAUUAUCCAUAGAAAUCAUGAAAGAGUAAAAAUUGGUAAUGAAUCAGUUUUGAGACAGCAGUAGUGACGUGAAUUUGAAAAAUCACCAAGGAUAGUAGAAAAUGAAUUAGAGGGUGGAUGAGAUAUAGAAUUAAAGCUUAUUGAGUAUAUUUCAUAGAAAAUUAACAGUGUAGGCAAAGGAAUUAUAUAUUCUAAGAUAUUUGCAUUUAGGUUAGACAAGGUCAAAGUGGUUUUCGGAAUCCCUUGUUUUGAAUUUAUAAAAUCAUUAAAAAUUUUAAAAAAAUAAUUAUGAGCUAUAAUUUACAUUUCUAGGUUCCUUAAUAAGUCUAUUUUCUGUAGAAACAAGUUAGAGCUCCAUAUAAAAAUGAUAUACUGAGAAAAUUUAUUUUUAGUGAAUAAAGGUCAGAACUGUCAGGCAGUGAAACAUGACAGAAUUUAAUGAAUAAGCUGAACCAAAAAUUUUGAAAAUUUUAUGGUAAGAAAAUAUAUGAGUCUAGUUUCAGGGAAAAUUUACGGAUUCAAAUUUGAAGUUUCCUAACUCGAGAUAUAAUUAACUUAGUGACUGCUGCGCAGGUGGACAGCCUUAUUAUGAACAGUGAAAUAAAAUUUGAAAGUAAAUUUUUAUGCCCCGAACUAUUAAGUUAAGUCAAGUAACGCCUCAUGCUCGACUCUGGAAACGGUAUCGGGUAAGGGGUGUUACAUCUUUUUAAAAGAUAAAUUGAGGUCUGCAUUGAACUCUACAUAAAAUAGUAGGUUCAAGGUCGGUUAUGUGUAAGGAAGAUUGUACUAGCCCUACAACACUCAAAAUUGGAACUUAUUAAUUACGCAUUUGUCAAAAAAUUCAAUGUUGACACCAUUUUUUUGAUAAAACGGGGUCGACUUGGAUUUAAAAAUGAAAACGAAAAUGGGAGUCGCCACCAAUUCUUUUUGAUGAGGUCUGAUCGGCUCACCUCGGAAAGUGGUUGUUUUUAAUAAACAAUUUGAUUUUAUUAAAACAAUGAUUUUGGUCCACGAAAUUUAGAAAAACAGGUUCGGGAAUCGGUUAUGCACGAGGAAGGAUUAGAACUCUCGAUACGCCCAAAAUUGGUACCUAGUUGAUUACUUAAUGUCUUAGUGUCGAAAAUUAAAAACUUUGAAGAGAUUUAUAAUACAAUCCUUUAUUAAAAUGUUGAAUUUUUUUGGGAAAAGGGCAUAUUUCACGUUAUUCGAGAAAGAGAAUUAUAUCUAGUAAGUUAGGACACAAUGUCUUGAAUUCUUGAUACGCGAAUAAAUGCUAAAAAUUUACUUAUUUAAAAAGAUAUUUAAUUAUCUCGGGUUUAGAAAAAGGAUCAUGCCCAGUAAGUUAGGACACAAUCUUUUUUCAAAUCCCGAGAUCGUUUAAAACUUGAGAGAAAAAAGGAUCAUGCCCAGUAAGUUAGGACAUGAUCUCUUUUUAAAUUCCCAAGAUCGUUUAAAACUUGAGUUUGAAAAGAUUCACGUAUUUAGAUUUAUUAUGAAAAUCGAAACCCAGUAAGUUAGGGUAUGACAUUCUCGAAUCUAAACACGAGAUUUUGCUUAUUCAAAAAAAUCAUAAUUUAUGCAUUAAAUAAAAUCACGAAAUAGUUGAAAUGAAAUAUGAUAUCAAUAUAAGUAACAAAAUAAAAAUGAAUACAAUGACAUAAGCAUAAAUAAUACGAGCCAUAGCAACAAAAAUAAGUUAAAUAAAAAGGACAAAUCAAUAGCAUACAAAAUAUCAAGCAUAUAAGCGAAUAAGAUUAAAACAUUCUUUUAAAAUAAUAAUGAAAAUGUAAACAAAGAAAUAAAUAAAGAAAAGGAAUAAAAUUAUAAAAAUGUAAAAAUAUAUAUAUGUAUGUGUAUGUACAUAAAAUUAUGGAAAUAUAAAAUAUAAAAAAAUAUUAGUACAUAUAUAUAUUUAUGAAAAUUAAAAAUAUGUAUGUAGAUAUAUGUAGAUAUGUAUAUAAGUUAUAAAAUAUAUAUAUAUAAAAUAUAAGCAUGCAUACAUAUAUAUAUAAAUAGGUUACAAAUAUAUAUAUAUAUGUGUGUAUAACAAAGUUUAAAGUAAAGAUAUAAAUAGGCAAACAAAUAAAUAAAUGAAUAAAUAAAAAAUUAAGAUAAAAAGGGCUUGAUUGUAGCUUAAAUUAAAUUAGCAGGAUAGAUUAAAAAUAAUAAUAAUAAUAAAGGGACCAAUUUCAAAUGUGCAAAGAAAAGCAGGGAUUAAUUGGGAAAAUAUCCCAUAUCGACAAAACGGCAUCGCCCCAAGGAGGCACCUGCGCAUGGUCUAUGGACCAAAUUGAAACUGAAGCCAAACUUUGCAGCCAAAAUAAAAAAAGGUAAAAAAUUUCGCAUUGAAUAUGCCGCAAAAGCGGAGGGGCUGAAAGCGCAACUAGCCCGUCCGCUCAAAAAACACGUGGAUCCUGGCUUGGAGCGAGUCGGGUGGAUCGGGUCAAAGCCAAAACGACAUCGUUUUGGUGCCUGGGCUUGGGGCUCAAAACGGUGUCGUUUUGAACCUCUAUAAAAGCUAAUUUUUUUGUUAAAAAAAAACAUUUUGUCCAUUCUUUUUUUAAAAAUUUUGUGGGAGCUUUCUCUGCUCUCUCUCACUCUCUGAUCUCUGACGGAAUUUUGACCGGUCCUCACCGUGCCGGCUACCGUAUAUGGUGGCCGAAAAACUUGAAAGGUAAUUUUUUUGAGUAUUUCGUAUAUGUUUAUGUACACUAGUUUUUAAAAAAACACACAUAUGUAUAUAUAUGUUUUGAAAGAGGAGAUUAAAGAAAAAAUCAAAAAUAAAGUAAAAUAAAAGUAAAUAAGUAGAAAGGAAAGAAAAAAAAGAAGUAGAAUGAUAAAGAAGCCCAGAAUCACCUUUGAAAUAAGUUUUAUUUUUUCUCUCUAUUGAAUUCUUUUGUAUUUCAAAACAACAACUAAAAAAAAACCCCAUUUACAUUUUCGAAUGGCUUUUAUAUAGCCAUUUUUUACAUAUUUUUUAUUCCUCUUUUUGCUUUUUGUCGCUUCUUUCUAAUUUUACUGGUGCAAGUGGCGAUCCGGCACUGCCGUGGCAGUGGCAGAGGGUGGCGGCUGCGGCGCCAGAAGACCAAGGGUAUAAAGACCCUAGGUGCGACCUUUAGGGUUUCAAAAAUUGAAACCCUAGUCUGACUUGGAGUUAGGAUUUUGUUGGGCCUCGGUUUGGGUUAGGCUAGUUGGGUUUGUAAUGGGUUUUGGGUAUUGGGUAGGUUUUGUUUUGUUUUGUGUUUUGUCUUGUUUUGAUUUUGGGUUUAAUUGGGCUCCGGGUCAAAAAUUUGGUGCUAUAGCUGCCCCUCUUUACUCAUUGUCGUGCAACGAGAAUAGAGAAAAGACAUCAAAAUGGACCAAUUUUUGCCCAGUGUCGCUGAAUCUUGACUUCUUCUGGCGCUUCUCUUCUCCAAGUAGCAUCUUUCCGAUCCACUGUAUCUUGUUGCUUCGAUCCACCCCACUGCACUUCAGAGAGAUACGGCUUGUAGCUUCAAUCUUCUUCGCAGCAACUUCAGAGGGACGAGGUUUGUGGUUUUAGUCUGCUACACUACUGCAACUUCAGAGGGAUAAGGUUUUAUAUGAUCUGCUCUACUAUAACUUCAGAGAGAUAAGAUCUGCAAUGUAUAGCUUCAAUCUGUUCCACUGCAACUUUAAGGAAAUAAGAUUCGCUAUCUUCGUUCUGCUCCACCGCAACUUCAGUGAGAUAAGACUUGUUAUGGUAGAUUUAAUCCGACCUACAGUAACUUCAGAGGUAUAGGAUUCAUCGUUUUAAUCCGCUCCACUGCAACUUCAAGGAGAUAGGAUUAGUAGCUUUAAUCUGCUCCACUGCAACUUCAGGGAGAUAAGAUUGGUAUCUUUAACCUGCUCCACUGUAACUUCAGGGAGAUAGGAUUAGUAUCUUCAACCUGCCCCACUGCAACUUCAGGGGGAUAAAGUUUGCUAUCUUCAGUCUGCUCCACUACAACUUUAGGGAGAUAAGACUUGUAUCUUUAACCUACCCCACUGCAACUUUAGGGGGCUAAAGUUUGUUAUUUUAACCUGCUCUACUACAACUUCAGAGAGAUAAGGUUUAUGGCUUUAAUUUGCUCCACUGCAAGUUCAGGGAGAUAAGAUUUGUAGCCCAUCUUCGAUUUACUUCGCUGCCAAUACAGGAAGACAAGACCUGUUAUCUUCGACCUACUCCACCGCUGCUCAGGGAGACAAGAUCUACUAUCUUCGAUCUACUUCGCUACCAAUACAGGAAGACAAGAUCGAUUAUCUUGGACCUACUUCGCUGCCAAUACAAGAAGACAAGAUCUACUAUCUUCGACCUACUCUACUACUGCUCAAGGAGACAAGAUCUGCUAUAUUUGAUCGACUUCACUGCCAAUACAGGAAGACAAGAUCUGUUAUCUUCAGUCUACUUCGUUGUCAAUACAAGAAGACAAGACUUGCUAUCUUUGAUCUGCUUCACUGCCAAUCCAGGAAGACAAGAUCUGCUAUCUUCUAUCUACUUCGUUGCGAAUACAGGAAGACAAGAUCUGUUGCUUUCAGCAUUAACGCUAGGGAAAUAAGAUUUGUUGUUUUUCAAUCUGAUUCGCUGCCAGUACAGGAAGGCAAGAUCCGCUAUCUUCAGUUUACUUUGCUGCAAACUAUGGUGUAUUCGAUCUGCUUCGCUGUCAGUACAGGAAGGUAAGAUCUACUAUCUUCAGUCUGCUUUACUAUCAGUACAGGAAGGCAAGGCUGGUGUCUUCGAUCUACUUCACUGUCAGUACUGGAACACAAGACUUGCUAUCUUCAGUCUGCUUCGCUGUCAGUACAGGAAGCAAGACCUGCUAUCUUCAGUUUACUUCGCUGUCAGUAUAGGAAGGCAAGGCUGGUGUCUUCAAUCUGCUUCGCUAUCAAUACAGGAAGGCAAGAUCUGCUAUCUUCACUGAUCUGUUCUCUGGGUAACAUUGCCUGUAUAAUCUAUUUUAUGAACCUAAUUAUGCCUAGUGAUUAGGAUGACAUGAUCAGAAUAAAUCAAAUGCUCCUAACUAGACGUGUAUGAAUGACAUUUGAAUGAAUGCAGAAUGUCAUUUUUUCUAGAAUGAUCCUUCUUUAUCACUUAGGUUAUCAUUACUCAAAGUUUAUUAAGGUUUUAUCACUGAUGCGCUACAAUGCCUUUUUGCUUGGCUGGCAUAUCCAAAGAAAACAUUUAAUCAGAUUGCCCCCACUGUGAACAUCAAAGUUCAAUCCACUGGGACGCAAAAUUUUACCAUCAUUCUCCCACUGUAACCCAAGGGUAGAAAAAUAUGGCUUUUUCUCAAUCCUCUCCUAUCGCAAUUCAAGGAUACAGAAUGUGAAGCUCUUUGGUUUUUUGUCCCAUUCCUAGGGUGUCAUACCAAAUGCUUAUGCAUCAAUGAAGAAUUCUUUUUCUCCCAGGAAACCUCUUCUUAUUGCUUGGUGAACAUCGCUUGUUUGUUCAUUGGAGCUCUGACAUCUUGUAAAUUUUGUUCAAUCAAUGUUUUGACGACAAAAUCCAAAAGGAUAGUCUUAAUUUAGACUUUUUCUUUUUAGAUAUUUCAACCUUUAAACUUGGUGCGUUCUAAACAAUAACCCCAUUUCAGGUUCCUAUAUUAUUUAGAAACUUCUAGAGUAAUAUGCAAAACUUCCAUUGUGAAACUAUUACCAGUCCAUUAAUCAUUAUUCCAAUACAACAUGCUUGAAAAAGAUCAUAACAAUGGAUGAACAUAGAAUUGAUUUGGGAGCAUCGCUCAAAAUGGAUAAAUCAUCAAAGAGAGUAAGAAUAACAAAGGAAUUGAUUGGGAACACAUAUCUUGAAAAAGAAUGAAGUAUUCCAAGAACAUGAAAUUCAAUAUAAAUAGUGUGAAGACUAGGAGCCCUAGAUAUCGCAGCUUGAACUUCUCUGUACAAACUUUCUAGAGAUCAUUCUAAGUUUGACAUGUGUUUAUGAGAUCUACAGUAUUUUGUUGAUACCCCAAGAUGUCGCCUACCCUUUUCUGUUGAUUCAGGUAUAGCAAGAUCACCACAUGCCUCAAUCUGACCAAAAUUUGAGCUGUUGUGAUCACCUCAUGUCUCAUUCUAAUUAAAAUUUGAGCCGCCCAUUUUGGGUUUUCAGCUCAAAUCCCCUUUGGUCUCAAGGCACCCUUUACAGAUUUUCGCCUUGGCCUCUCCUUUUUAUUUCUUUUUCUUUUCUUUUUUCCUUCUCUUUUUUUUUGAAAUAUUUUUUACUCUAAACUCAUAGGAUUAGGCAAGUCCUUGUUAUCCCUUACGGUUGAAAUUAAUGUUUUUCCAGAUAGGGUCUUUCAUAUAAGGUCCUUUUCGGUUUGGCAUCCACUUCUUUCUGAGGUCUUUUUGUAUGGUGAAGAUCUUAUUCAGUACCAGGUCCCCCUCAUAGAAUUCUCUAGAGCGGACCUUCUUUGAUAAGCUUGCAUCAUUUGCUUUUGGCACAUUUGACCAUCAUGGAUAGCUUUGAACAUUCCUCUUUAAUCAAGAUUAGAUUCAAAAACUUAGAGAGAAUCUUGUCUUCAAUAGGUAAAACUGAGAUAAGCUAAAAAGAAAUACGUUGCCUCAGUAGAGUUUUUUCUUUACGCUGUCCUCUUUUUGGGCGAUAUGGUGUUAAUCUUGAACAGACUGUAAACUUCUGAUAUCGUGCUCUUGUUCAAAUCUAGUGCAUUGUCAGAUAUGAUCCUUUUCGGAAUUCCAUACAAACAUGAUUUUUUUUAAAAAAUUUACUGACUGUCGACUUUGUGACAUUGGCAUAUGAAGCGGCUUCUAUCCACAAAGAUAAAUCGAUGACCACCAGAAUCCUUUGGCGAGAUCGACCCAAUGACCUUCAUGCCCCACAUAGGAAGAAGUCAUGGAUUCCAUUGAUUCUUUGUAAGGUAGGAUCUAUUUUUCAUAUUGUUCUACCAUCCUUAAUAAGUCCAGAGAUAGGCUACAAUCUAUGUCAUCUUCAAAGUCAUGAGAUCCCUCUAAACACAUAUCUCACUCAGAAGGAGAUUCUGAGUCUGUAGCAGCGUCACUCAUGUUGUUGAUAUUUAGGGACCUAUUGUAGGUACAAAAGAAUAUACAAAGAAUGUAUGAAUUUAAGAACAGUAUGAUUAUGAAUGAAUAAUUGAUUUGGAAGUAAAUCCAAAAGAAUAAAAGAAUCAAAAAUAAUUAUUCGUAAAGAAUGAAAGACUAUUGGCUCAAAAAUGAUCGCAAAGAUACAUUUCAUUAAAAUAAUAACAUUCAGACAUGAGCCUAUUUCACAAAAGAGUUCUUAUUGCCUCUAGGCUGAAAGCAACAAGUGUGUUCUGAAUAUUACUCUAAGUAGGCUCUAAAUACUACAAAGGUUUCUUUUACGGUCUAAUUUAUUUAGAGCACCUCCAAGUUUAUAAGGGUGGACAUCUAACAAGGUCCUCUUUUCAGUUGCCUUCAUGUACAGCAUUGAUGUGAACAUUUUCCAACACUUCUUCAUACAUUGCAUUCAUACCAUUAUCAAUGUGACUGGGUAGCAAAUUUUCUGCAUUGGAUGAAUCAUCAAAUUUGACAACGCCCAUACUGAUAAGCCUUUCAACCACUUUUUUAAGGGUAAUGAAAUUUUCUAUGGAAUGUCCUGUAAUUCUCGCAUGAUAAUCGCAUUGUACAUUCAUGUCGUACCAUUUGGGGUACGGAGGUUAUGGGGGUUUUGAGUAGAAAGGGGCAACAACGUGCGCAUCGAAUAAGCUUUAGUACAGCUCCUUAUACGACAUCAGAAUUGGCAUGAACUGAAGCUUCUUAGUGUUUUAUCUUGUUCUAGAUUCUUGUCUUGAUGAGUCUUGUUGGUUAACGACCAUUUUUCUUGGUUGAUUCACCGUAAUUGGUCUUGAAUAACCCUUAUUAUAUGUACUCGUGUUGUUUACCUCAUUUUCCUUUUCCUCCAGGUCGACCUUUUGUUAUUCUCCUCAGUAUCAAUCUUUCCACCCCUUAUGGCACUUUCAAUCAUCUCACCAUUCAUGACUAUGUCAGAAAAACUUUUUGUGGCACUUCCUAACAUAUGUGUGAUGAACGGGGCUUUCAAUGUAUUGAUAAAGAGCACUGUCAUUUCUCUUUCCAAGAGUGGUGGCUGAACCUAGAUGGCAAUCUCCCUCCACCUUUGUGCGUAUUGCCUAAAAAUUUCAUUCGGCUUCUUUUCCAUAUUUUGCAGGGUGAUUCUAUCAGGGACCAUAUCUGCCACGUGACUGUACUGCUUCAUAAAUGCUUGUGCUAAAUCCCUCCAAUAACUAAUCUGGGUACGGCUCAAUUGAUUGUACCACUUAGACGCUGCCCCUAUGAGGCUAUCUUGAAAGCAGUUUAUAAGUAAUUGGUCGUUGUUAACGUAUCCAAACAUUCACCUACAAAACAUGGUAAUAUGGGCUUCAGGGCAGCUGGUCCCAUUAUAUUUUUCAAAUUCUGGCAUUUUGAACUUAUGAGGGAGUACCAAAUCCGGGACCAAACUCAAGUUUCUAGCAUCAAUCCCCUGGUAAUUCUCACUACUUUCCAUAGCCCUGAAUUUUUCUUCGAACCACGUACAUCUCUCCUCCAGCUAUUUUGGCAAUUCUUCCUUUACUUUUUCUUUCUCAGCCACUUCAUCAAAAUCGGGUGCGAUAGGAUUUGUAGGGUUCUCUCCAGGGUUAAAACCUAAUCCAGUCUGGAAGUUCAUUGGCAUUGAGGUACCAACCAGAAACUGCUGAGGCCCGAUUGUGACAGAGGAUCUGCGUUGGUGCACAUCGACUUGGGGUUGUACUUGUGGAAGAGUAUAGCCCGGAGGGUAGAGGGGUCCAUCAUUGUCUCCUUCUUCAGCAUUAGCCAUAGGGCUCUUUCCUUUAUCAUUUUCCCCAGCCAACAGUUGUGUUAGUUGAGUCAUCAAGCUCCUUUGGGACUCCACAAUCUUUUUCGCCAAAUCUUGCUGAAUUUUUUCCAGUCGCUCUUGCAUUUGGUCUUGCAUCUCUUUUUGAAGCUUUUCAAGUCUUUCCAUUCUUUGAUCCAUGUUCUUCAAUUUUGCCCGAGUACUGUAAGGGUGUUGGUUUUCUAGGUUAACUGAAAUAAUUUUAUUCAAUUAAGGUCUUUUUAUGGUCGUUAAUGCAUAUAAUGUCAUGUAAUGCAAAUGCGUGAAGUGAAUGCAAAAAGAAGUUGACUCUGAUUCAAUUCCAUUUAAAAAACUUUACUAAAAAAUAAAUUUCUUUACAUAUAGCAGAUGCAUGUACGGCCUUGCCCUCAUACUCCAAGAAACAACAUCGAUCUUUCCCUUUAUCCGGAUGUUUAAGAUAAAUCUCAAAAAUUUCAAGUGGAUGCCACUACUAGCUCCUUCUUGGUUGAUCCUAGUUGCGAUCCAUCAUCUGCCCAUCCUCGUAAUGCUUAUCACAUUCUUUAAGAAAGUCGAAAUGUCGACGACUAUCAAAUAAUUAGCUUCAAUCCUCAGACUGCGAAGUAAUGUCAUGUACUCUUCCAUAACCCUUCUUUUGUUAUGUUUCUUGGAAUAUAUUUUGGCGACCGUAUUGUCUCCCACUUUAUCAAGAAAUCCAUUUUCUUAUGAUAAGCUCUCUAUUUAGCAACUGAACAUGAAUCAACACCUUUUUCCUAUUUGAUGAAAAAUGCAAUGCAAUGCAGUGCAAUCAUAAUUGAAACAAAAUGAAACGGGUUAGUACAAAGCAAAAGUAAGCAAGAAAGAAACAAAUAGAGCACCUAUUUGGGUGACCACUAAGGGUUUGGAGUGGCUCUACUUAGGGUAGGCUCCUAAGGUGUUUUACAUGCAGUUUAGUUCUAAAGCAAAGGUACCCGAACCAGUAGAUUCCUCAAUCCUCACCCACUAUAGGCUCAUAUAGACUGAGUUCGGUUCAGGGGAAUACAUUUCCCUAUGGCUGCACGGAGAUGAAGAUCUCACGAAAACAUAGGUACGGAUGUAUCCCGAAAGCGAUCUACUAUCCUACACGGAUGUGAAAACCUCACGAAGGAAUAGCUUCUCAGUCCCACUUAAAAGGGUGUGACCAACGGUCAUGCAAUGCAAUGUGCAAAAAGAUACCAAAACUUAGACUAACACAACAAUUAUAAACCAUAAUUUGAAUAUCAUAAUAAAGACGGAUGAAAUGCAACGAAAGUAUCGUAUAUUUAAAUCAAGUUUUCAAUUUUCGACGAAAAGACAAAAAGUAAUCAACUCGUGGCUUGGCUCUCGUAUUUUGGGUCCCCAGUGGAGUCGCCAAGCUAUUGACACCAUUUUUUUGAUAAAACGGGAUCGACUUGGAUUUAAAAAUAAAAUGAAAAUGGGAGUCGCCACCAAUCCUUUUUGAUGAGGUGUGAUCGGCUCACCUCGAAAAGUGGUUGUUUUUAAUAAACAAUUUGAUUUUAUUAAAACAAUGAUUUUGGUCCACAAAAUUAAAAAAAAAGGGGUUCGGCAGUCAGUUACGCACGAGGAAGGAUUAGCACCUUCGAUAUGCCCGAAAUAGGUACCUAGUUGAUUACUUAAUGUCUUAGUGUCGAAAAUUGAAAACUUUGAAGAGAUUUAUAAUACGAUCCUUUAUUAAAAUGUUGAAAAUUUUUGGGAAAAGGGCAUAUUUCACGUUAUUCGAGAAAGAGAAUUAUAUCCAAUAAGUUAGGACACAAUGUCUUGAAUUCCCGAUGCUCGAAUGAAUGCUAAAAAUUUACUUAUUUAAAAAGAUAUUUAAUUAUGUUGGGUUUAGAAAAGGGAUCAUGCCCAGUAAGUUAGGACACGAUCUUUUUUCAAAUCCCGAGAUCGUUUAAAACUUGAGAGAAAAAAGGAUCAUGCCCAGUAAGUUAGCAAAUGAUCUCUUUUUUUAAUUCCUGAGAUCGUUUAGAACUUGAGUUUGAAAAGAUUCACGUAUUUAGAUUUAUUGUGAAAAUCGAAACCUAGUAAGUUAGGGUACGACCUCGAAUCUAAAAACGAGAUUUUGCUUAUUCAAAAAAAUCAUAAUUUAUGCAUUGAAUAAAAUCACAAAAUAGUUGAAAUGAAAUACGGUAUCAAUAUAAGUAACAAAAUAAAAAUGAAUACAAUGACAUAAGCAUAAAUAAUACGAGCCAUAGCAACAAAAAUAAGUUAAAUAAAAAGGACAAAUCAAUAGCAUACAAAAUAUCAAGCAUAUAAGCGAAUAAGAUUAAAACAUUCUUUUAAAAUAAUAAUGAAAAUGUAAACCAAUAAAUAACUAAAGAAAAGGAAUAAAAUUAUAAAAAUGUAAAAAGAUGUAUAUGUAUGUGUAUGUACAUAAAAUUAUGGAAAUAUAAAAUAUAAAAAAAUAUAAGUACAUAUAUAUAUUUAUGAAAAUUAAAAAUAUGUAUGUAGAUAUAUGUAGAUAUGUAUAUAAGUUAUAAAAUAUGUAUAUAUAAAAUAAAAGCAUGAAUACAUAUAUAUAUAUAUAUAUAUAUAUAAAUAGGUUACAAAAAUAUAUAUGUGUUUAACAAAGUUUAAAGUAAAGACAUAAAUAGGCAAACAAAUAAAUAAAUGAAUAAAUAAAGAAUUAAGAUAAAAAGGGCUUGAUUGUAGCUUAAAUUAAAUUAGAAGGAUAGAUUAAAAAUAAUAAUAAUAAUAAUAAAGGGACCAAUUUCAAAUGUGCAAAGAAAAGAGGGGAUUAAUUGGGAAAAUAUCCAUAUCGGCAAAACGGCGUCGCCCCAAGGAGGCACCUGUGCAUGGUUUAUGGACCAGAUUGAAACUGAAGCCAAACUUUGCAGCCAAAAUCAAAAAAGGUAAAAAAAUAACGCAUUGAAUAUGCCACAAAAGUGGAGAGGCUGAAAGCACAAUUAGCCCUUCCGCUCAAAAAACACGCGGAUCCUAGCCUGGAGCGGGUCGGGCGGAUCGGGUCAAAGCCAAAAUGAUGUCAUUUUGGUCCCUGGGCUUGGGGAACAAAACGAUGUUGUUUUGAACCUCUAUAAAAGCUAAUUUUUUUGUUAAAAAAAACAUUCUGUCCAUUCUUUUUUAAAAAAUUUUGUGAGAGCUUUCUUUGCUCUCUCUCACUCUCUGAUCUCCGACGGAAUUCCGACCAGUCGCCACCGCUCCGGCCGCCAUAUACGGGGGCCGAAAAACUUGAAAGGUAUUUUUUUGCGUAUUUCGUAUAUGUUUGUGUACACUGUUUUUUUUAAAAAACACACAUAUGUAUAUAUAUGUUUCAAAAGAGGAGAUUAAAGAAAAACUCAAAAAUAAAGUAAAAUAAAAGUAAAUAAGUAUAAAGAAAAAAAAAACAUGAAGCUGAAUGAUAAAGAAGCCCAAAAUCACCUUUGAAAUAAGUUUUAUUUUUUUCUCUCUGUUGAAUCCUUUUGUAUUUCAAAACAACAACUAAAAAAAAGCCCCCAUUUACAUUUUCGAAUGGCUUUUAUAUAGCCAUUUUUAACAUAUUUUUUAUUCCUCUUUUUGCUUUCUGUCGCUUCUUUCUGAUUUUGCAAGUGCAAGUGGCGAUCUGGCGCAGCAGUGGCAGUGGCAGAGGGUGGCGGCUGCAGCGCCAGAAGACCAAGGGUCUAAAGACCCUAGGUGUGGCGCUUAGGGUUUCAAAUUCUGAAACUCGAGUCUAACUUGGAGUUGGGAUUUUGUUGGGCCUCGGUUUGGGUUAGGCUAGUUGGGUUUGUAAUGGGUUUUGGGUAUUGGGUAGGUUUUGUUUUGUUUUGGGUUUUGUCUUGUUUUGAUUUCGGGUUUCAUUGGGCCCCGGGUCAAAAAUUAGGCCCUACAUUCAAUAUUUAAAAUUGAGAAAUCUAAUGAUUAAUUAUGACCCCUUGAAAUAAAAUACUAACUUUUCGAGUGAAUUAAAAUUUAUUAGUGAAAUAAUUUUUAGUAUCUCUUGAUAUCCACAAAAAUAUUAAAAACAUUUUAAAAAGAAAACAAAACUAGUAAAUUCACUUUAUUUAGAAAAAAGAUAUCUCCAAACUAAUUUGAUCAAUGGUUCACCACCUUGGAAGCUGUUUCCAAUGAAAGUAUAUUUUAUAAACUAAAUUAUUCAGGUCAUUAUUUUAGAUGAUCCUCUCCAUAACUACUUUUACUUGUGAGAGAAAAAAAAGUCUAAUAUUGAAAAAGCCCAUCAAUAUGAAUAUGUUUCUCUCUUUUUUUCCUUAUAUUAUUUAUAAAUCCUUUUUUUAAUAUCAUAAAAAUUGGUAUAAUUUAAUUAUCAAUAACUUUUACUAACCCUUGAACUUGAGGAUAAAACACAUUUGAGCACGAUUAAACUCAAAUUUUCCUACACUGACAAUAAUACCAAUACUAACUCAACUAAAACUCAAUCACCCAUAUAUUUUAAUUUUUAAAUAUAAUAAAACAUGUGCAUCUAGAAUAAUCUAGUAUAUAUAUAUAUAUAUAUAAUAGUGUACCCGGUUGCGUGGCGAAUUUUGUUAAUUUAAGUUUAGACAUGGAUUGCUGGUUUGAUAAUAGAUGUGUUUUUAUUUUUGUAAUUUUUAUGUCCAGGUUCAUCGUCGAUAUUUGUGGAAUUGAACUAUAAUUGAAAAAAUAUAAUUUUUAAGAUAUUUUUAUACACUAAAUGUUAACUCUAUUACAAUUUAGACGUAUUUAAUUUUUUUUUGGUUGAACAUAAGCUUAGAAAAUUAAGCGCUCAUCAGUCCAAAUGAAAAUUAUCAUCAGUCACCAGUGAUUGUCUAAUAUCUUCUUCAAGCUAGCAUCUCACAUAAUGCGGAGGAUCUUCCAAGAUAACCAGCUGCUCAAUUACGCCUCCAUCUGCCUUAGCUAUGCAAUCAACAAUUUUAUUGGCAUUCUGCUAAAUAUGUCGAAAUUUGACUUCCCAAUUUUUGGAACACCAAUCGUGAAUCUAUCUUACUUCAGCAACACUACUUAUUGUAGCCAACCCGUUACAAAGAGUUUCAAUCAACAUCUUGUAGUCACUUUCCAUAUUUUCAAUCUUUCAGGAAUAGCUCUGGCUUCAAUCUAGGAGAUAUCAUUCAUACCUAAUACAGAGACUAAAAUAAUAUAUUUAAUAAUAAAAAGACCAAUUUAAUCCAUUUCCUAGUAUACAAAUAUAUCCCAAAUAAUUUAAAAGUGAAUUUUAUGUUUGGGUUUUUGAUGUGUGAAAUAUUGAUGGUUCUAAUUAAGUUUUGAUUGAUAAACUAAUAAAUGUAAUUAAAUAUAUUAUAAGAUACAAAAUUAUUGUUUGAUUCUCCAUAAGUCGGUUUGGGUCACUUUCAUUGGGUGACUUACCUCUAAGUCUUCUCACGUCUACAUUAAUUCACAUUUUCUUUUGAAUUUCUAUGUAGAAAAAGGAUGUAUGGAAACAUGAUUACGAUAGUGUUGAAAAUAAUGAUAUGUUAGGAAAAAAUAUAAAAAAAGGUGUAUAUAAUUAGUUAAAUAUACAUAAAUUUUGUAGCGUUACUAUAAUUUUAAAAUAUAUUAUUGUUAAAAAAUUUUAAAUUUCAUAUAAAAUUUCAAACAUAUUUUUAUUGAUUUUUUAGAGAAAAAUAUAUUUUGUUGAUUGUUUUAAGGCUUACAAUUUUUUAAAUAGUUUUAAAUAUUUUAUAAAGUAUUUAAUUUUUAAAAAUAUAUCUUUUUAAAAGAGAAAUUCAUAAAUUCAUUUAAUGAGUAAGAUCAUACAAUUUGAAGGGAGAAAAAUAACAAACACGUUGUGCGCGUUGAAGGACAAGCUCUAUCAAUAUAACAAAAAAAUCAGUUUCAGCAUCAAUAGAUCAUUAUGGCACGUUAACGAUCGGCUCUGUCACAACUCAAGUAUAAUAUAUUAAGAGUAAUUGCAAAUACUUAAUAUAAUAAGGAAAUCAGCAAUAGAUGAUCCAAAGCACUUAAAAGUAUGUUUUUAGAUCACUUUAAAUUUCAAAAAGAAAUUAUUUUUUAAUAAUUUUUAAAUUUUUGUUUAGUGUGAUCGGUCACAAAAAAAAAUACCUUUUAUACAGAGAUUAUAAAAUUCUUUUCAAAAGAUAAAUUUGAGGUCUGUAUUGAAUUCUAGAGAAAAGAGUAGGUUCAGGAGUCGGUUAUGUGUAAGGAAGAUUGUACUAGCCCUACAACACUCAAAAUUGGUACUUAUUAAUUACGCAUUUGUCAAAAAAUUCAAAAUUUAAAAUUGAGAAAUCUAAUGAUUAAUUAUGACCCCUUGAAAUAAAACGCUAACUUUUCGAGUGAAUUAAAAUUUAUUAGUGAAAUAAUUUUUGGUAUCUCUUGAUAUCCACUAAAAUAUUAAAAAUAUUUUAAAGAGAAAAUAUAUCUAGUAAAUUCACUUUAUUUAGAAAAAAGGAUAUCUCCAAAUUAAUCUGAUCAAUGGUUCACCACCUUGGAGGCCUAUGUCCAAUGAAAGUAUAUUUUAUAAAUUAACUUAUUAUUAAACAAUAAAAAGAUAUCUGAAAGAAUAAUUUUUUAUUAAUUUUGUUUUAAGACACCAAAAUCUAUAUUGAACAAGUCAAAUUUAGUGAAAAAAUUAAAUAAAAUUUUAAGUUUACUUUCAAAGUUAAAUAUGACUUAAUGGUAAAUUUACUUAUAUAUUCAAAGUGUAAUGAUAAACAUCAAAUAAAAUAUAGUGAUAAAUUUCAAUACACUUAUAAUAUACUGGCAAAUUUACACUAUAACUCUAGAAUUAUUGAAGUUUUUAUCCCCAAAUCAUCCACAAUUUGUGGAAGGGCUCGUCAAUUACUGAAGUUUAGCCCUAAUGACCCAUUUGUGUUAAUAAAGUUAACAUUUACUAUUUAAAUUUUUUUAUUUAACAGAGUUAAUUUUUUUAAAGUUUUAUGGUUUUAUAAAUGAAAUAUUUCUUCUAGAAUUAAACUACAAUUGAAAAAGAAUUAAAAUAUUUUGUACACAAUAAAUGUUAACUCUAUUACAAUUUGGAUAUAUGUGAUUUGAGUAACUAAAAAAAACAUUUAAUAAUAAAAGGAGGAAUUUGAUGCACUCGAGAUCCCAAUUUCUUUUACUCAAUUAAUAUCAAAGUGCUAACUAUAAGAACCAAGACUAAAAAAUAAAGUUUUACACUUUUGAUAUAACCAAUAACAGAAAAAUAGCACAAAAUUAAUUAGUUAAUUCAAUUCAAUAGGAACUUGUGUUAUAUGUAGUUUCGAAUUGAAGUAAAGUAAGAGGAAUGUAAAGAAAUAAAUGAAAACAUGUUUUCCUAAGUCCAAAUCUAGCUCAUUUUCAGCAUUUUGAGCUUCAAGUGGUUGCAGCAUCAAUGAGACACUACCUCCAAAUGUGCUGUAAAAGGAUGGCUCAAAAGCAAACAUUGCUUUUGGUUGGAAAGUGGUGUUGAUAGGUUAUGGAUGCGGGGUAGUGUUUGGAAUGGCCAUGGGAUGUGUUGCUUUCCAAACCGGCAAGGCGAAAAGGUUCGUGAAUUUGGUUGAAGACCAACAUGAGAAGAGGCGAAGAAGAAAGCCAAAAUAUAGCAAUAGCAUCAGUGGAUGAAGAAGGAUCUAGUUGGUGCAAAUGAAGUUAAAGCAUUUGUGCUGUGUCUUCAUAAUUUCUUGUUUAGUAGUCUGUCAGAAAGUUUUUCCUAUGGUGAAAAGUUGCAUUGGUAUGUGUCUGUUUUUAUGAUUGUACUAAUUCCUCUGUAUUUCAUUGCAUUUCGUACUAUUUGUACGGGUUUAGUUCGAGUGUAACAUCUUGUAUGGUGCAACUAUGUAUGUCUUCUUUCUUGAAUUUCAAUUUUUAGUUAACAUUAUACUGCUCACCAUAAAAAAAAAUUACAUGUAGAAUUACAAAAGAUUCAAUUAUUCAAGUUUGAGUUGCAUUGAUAAACACGUGAUGAUGAGAAUUCAUGAACAUAAGGUAUGGUUUGAGCCCUUUUGCCAUACGCAUUUAUGUUGUAGAUGUUCAAACAUGGAAUAAUUCAACCUGCCUUUGUGUAUUCUUAAUUUUGUGCCGAACCUAUAUAUCUAUCAACAAAUUUAAGAGUAAUAUUUACAAUAGCAUUGCAGAGUAACAUAUUUAAGAUUACACAGUCAAAAGAUUGCAGCAACGAUGAGAUUAAUCCAAUUAGAGGAAUUGGUAUCCUAAAUGGCUUUUAGGUACGUAGCUUCAUUGACGGUUGAAACUAGUUAAAAUUUCCAGCAUUCAUGUCUUUGUUUUCCCUCAAGUAAACGUAGUCAAUACUGCAAAUGGUGUGGAAGUAUUGUACAUUGUGGCCCAAAUGUCCAAAAUUUCCACAUUGCUUGUAAAUUAAGUUCGGGUGAGAGAGGAGGAAGCAACAGCAAGUGUGAAGUCAAUAGACAAUUGGUAGUCUUAGCCCUUUUUGUGGAGUUAAAAGUAUAGUCAAUAGACAAUUGAUAGUCAAAUUUGUAGCAGUCUUCUUCCUCCUUAUUCUUUUGUGUGGAAAAUUAUUUAGGACCAAACUUGACGUGUUAUAGGGAAGAAGACUGUAAUCUCAUGAAUGAAAAAUAUAUGGUAAAAAGGAAGUAGUUGUUGAUCACUAACAACAUGAUUGUGGAAAUACAAAAAUUCUCAUAUAUGUGUUGAAUUUUGCAUAAUGUGAAUGUCCUGCAUUGCAUGUGAAUUCUGCAAUAUAGUCCUUUAAUUUGAGUUAAUGAAAAGUAACCAUUCUUAUCAAAAUUAGUUAUACUCUUAAUUUAUAAGAAAGGAAAGAGUAAUUUGAGUUUAACUCAAAGGUUAAUACUCGUCAAUUAAUGAAGUUUAGCCCCAAUGACCCAUUUGUGUUAAUAAAGUUAACAUUUACUAUUUAAAAAAAUAAUUUUUUAUUUAACAUAGUUAAUAUUUUUAAAGUUUUAUGUUUUUAUAAAUGAAAUAUUUCUUCUAGAAUUAAACUACAAUUGAAAAAAGAAAUUAAAAUAUUUUGUACACAAUAAAUGGUAACUCUAUUACAAUUUGGAUAUAUGAGAUUAGAGUAACUAAAAUAAAACAUUUAAUAAUGAAAGGAGGAAUUUGAUGCACUCGAGAUCCCAAUUUCUUUUACUCAAUUAAUAUCACAAUAAAUGUUUUAGUUUAUUUUUUUAUUUGUCAGGAUAGGAGGAAUUCAAUUUAAAAAUUUUAAUCCAAUUAUUAUCAUCUUUGAUUUUUUUGUCACAAUUUCUCAACUUGCUUAUUUUGUGUUAGUCAUAUACUACGACAUAUAAGGGAAACCUAAUUAAUAUGUAAAGUUGUCAAAUUUUGACUAAAAAAAAUUAACGAUAGGACUAAGAUUUUUAAAUAAAAACAAGAAGACUUAAUUUUUAACCUUUUAAAUAUAGAGACUAAAUCUCAAAUUUUAUCAAAGUACAAGGACAAAUAGAUUAUAUCAACCUUAUUUUGUUUAAAAAGUUUUUUACAUUUAUUAGAUCAAAAUGUUUUGUUAGUGCUUGUACUUUGACAACAUUUAAAAUUUAGUCCUUGUACUUAAAAAGUUAAAAAUUAAGUCUUCUUACUUUUCUAGUGUACAAGCCCAUUUUGCCCGGGCCCAUUACCAAAAUUUUAACCCAAUACACCCAAAACAAUUAACCUCAGCCCAACUAGCCUAACCCGAAGCCCAAACCCGAGCCUCAAUGACUGAGGCCCAAUCCCAGCUAAAAAAAUCUCUGCCUAGGGUUUCAGAAACUGAAACCCUAGGCGCCGCCUCUAGGGUCUUUGACCCUUGGCCUUCCGACGCCGCCAGACGUCCCAUCCGCGCCGCCCGCGGUCACGUCGGCCACUCCACUUGCGCCGUCACCUGCAAAAACACGCAAGAAACAGUAGCAAUCAAGAAAAAAAGACAGUGUAAACGGGCUAUAAAAGCCAAAGACCCCCACUGUCAAGGGGUUGGGGUUUUGAUUCUCUUUUUCUUUCUUUUGUAACGUUUCCACAAAACAAGAAAUAUAAAAAUCAAAGGUGAUUUCUAGUGUUUUUGAUUUAGUUGUUGUAAUUCUUUUUUUUAUUUUCGUUUUUGUUGUGCAUUUAUAUACAUAUAUUUAAUAUAUAAAGAAAAAAGACAAAACUCACCGUGACGGAGUUUCAAAUGCCGAUCCGGCGCUUCGUCGGCCGUCGGAGGUGGUGGCGGUACGGCGAGCGCAAAGUCGACGCUAAGAGGACCCAAGGGUCGGGUUUUUGAGAGAAAAAAAAAGGUUUUUGAAAUUUUUUUAAAAAAAACAGUGGCUGAAAUGAAAAAAAUAAAAAAGGGUGUUUAAAUAGCAAGAGAAAACGACGCCGUUUUGCCAUUAGGGUCAGGCGCCAAAACGAGGCCGUUUUGGCCCUGACCCGCGCGGUGACCCGACCCUAGGGGAGGAUCCGCGUGUUUUUGACUCUCGGGUUAUUUGCGCAAUUGGUCCCUCCGAUUUUGUGGCGCUUUCAAGGAAGUUUUUCGCAUAUUUUCAAUUUUGGCCAUGAAUUUUCGCGUCUGUUUCGAUUUGGUCCCUCAACCAUGUGCGUGCAUUUCACUGGAAUGGCAUCGUUUGGUCAGCGAGGGAAUAUUUCCAUUUUGGUCCCUCCUCUUUCAGUGCGUGUUACAAUUUAGUCUUUUUAGUCUUUUUAUUUCGAAUCUGCCCAGUUUUUUUAUUUUAUUUCGAUUUGGUCCUCUUUUUAGUACUUUUGUCUAUUUUGUUCGUUAUUUUUGUAUUAUGAUAAUUAUUAUUAUUAUUAUUAUUAUUAUUAUUACUAUUAAAUAUUAUUAGUUUUAUUUUCCCUAUACGUAUUCGUUACUAUUUUGUUUGUUAAUUAGUUGCAUGUUAUUUUUAGCUUUAUUUUAUUCUCUAUAUAUACAUAUACACACACAUAUACAUCAUGCAUUUACAUGUCUUUAUAGUAACUUAUUUUAUAUACAUACAAACAUAUAUAUAAAUAUUUUUGUAUUCUAUAAUUUAUAUACAUAUAUUUGCACACCCAUAUAUAUCUAUAUAUAUAUAUAUAUAUUUUAAAAUACAUGUACAUAAAAUAUGCUUUCAUACAUCUUUAUAAUAUAUAUACUUACUUAUACUUUAUACUUUCAAAAAUAUACAUUUUGUUUAUAUUCUUUAUAUUUUAUAAUAUAUUUUAUACAUAGGUAUUUUAUAUAUAUAUAUAUAUAUAUUUUAUAAUUCACAUAUGCAUACAUAUUUUAAUUUAUAUCUAUAUACAUAUAUGUCCCUUUAUAUUUUUAAUUGUAUUCACUUUUUAUUUAUUUCAAUUUCAUUUAUUAUCUUGAAUGAAUGUUUUAAUUUUAUUCGUUUAUAUACGUUGUUAUUUGGUAUGUUGUAAAUUUGAUCUUUUAUUUAUCUUAUAUUGUGCUAUUGCUCGUAUCAUUUUUAUACUUUCGUAUUCAUUAUUGUUUCGUCAUGCAUAACAACAAUGUAAUUUGUUUUCACAUUCUUUACUACGACUUCGUGUUUUAUUUUACUCGAUAUAACAAAAUUUGUUUUGAAUAAAUACUAUUUCGUGUUUAGAUUUGAGAGAAUCGUACCCUAACUUACUGGGUUUCGAUUUUCGCAAUAAAUCUUAAUAUACGAAUCUUUUUAAACUCAAGUUUUAAAUGAUCUCGGGAUUUAAAAUAGAUCACGUCCUAACUUACUGGUCGUGACCUUAUUUUUAAAUCCGAGAUGGCUAAAAAAUCUUCUAAAUAAGUAAAUUUUAGCAUUUUUCAUUCGCGUAUCGGGAAUUCGAGAUAUUGUGUCCUAACUGGAUAUGAUCAUCUUUCUCGAAUAACGUGAAACAUGCUUCUUUUUCUAAAAAUUUUUAACGUUUUAACAAGGAUCGUAUUUUUAAAAUUUUCUAAAAUUCUCAAUUUUCGACAUUAAGACAUUAAGUAAUCAACUAAGGUACCAAUUUUGGGCGUAUCGAGGGUGCUAAUCCUUCCUCGUGCGUAACCGACUCCCGAACCCGUUUUCUAAAUUUCGUGGACCAAAAUCGUUGUUUUAAUAAAAUCAAAUUAUUUAUUAAAAACAACUUUUUUCAAGGUGACCCAAUCACACCUCAAAAAGGAUUGGUGGCGACUCCCGUUUUUAUUUUCAAAAUCCAAGUCGACCCCGUUUUCAAAUCAAAAAAAUGGUGUCAACAUCUAGUUUAAAAAACUUAGUCCUACCAUUAGGAUUGUAAGUAUUUUCUAUUCAAAUUUGUAAACUUGGAUAUAUGUUGAGUAGACUGCCUUCAUAUAAUGUUGCAUAUGAUUGAUAAUAAAAAACCUAUUAAGUUGAAAUUUUUUAAUGGAAUUAAAAAUAAUUGGACUAGAAUUUUUAAAUUAGAAAAGUAGGAGGAUUGGAUAUUUUUUUACUUUUAAAUUACAGGGACUAAUAGCAUAUUUUAAACAAUUUAUUAUUCUGAAAAUAAAAGAACAUAUAGUAAUUAAUAAAAUAUAUUUUUUAAGUUUUUUUAGUGGAUUAUGUGGAGUAAUGUGAAGAAAAUUUAGGAGAAAUUUUGAAAAUUUGCUUCUUUGCAUGUAUUUUUUAAAGAAGAAGACUUGACAUUUAUUUUGAAAUUUCUUCAAAACUUCGCUUUCCUUUUUAAUUUUUAGGGUAGUCUUAAAUUUAUCAAGCUUAUCAAGUGUGCGAGGGUUGAAACAUAUUAAAGCAUGCUCUCUGGGCUUUUCUUCAUCAUCCAAACUAUUUUAUCAACUCAACUUCCCUUUUCCUACUUUUUUUUAUUUUCUUGCCUUACUCCAUCUUGCAAUCAUGAACUACAACACUUGCUUUCAUCUUCUUUUAGCUUUAUUCAUACCAUGUUCCGUACUUUGCUUGGCUAUGACAGUUAGGAAUCUCAACUCCGAUCAGUUUGCACUUCUCGAGUUUAAGGAUCGCAUUGCCAGUCCUCAAAAUGUCUUGGCAAACAAUUGGACGGCCUCAACUUCUGUUUGCAAUUGGAUUGGUGUUUCUUGUGGCAUCUUCCAUAAAAGAGUUAUAGCUUUGAAUCUUAGAAGCAUGAAUCUUAGGGGUACUAUCCCUCCACACCUUGGAAAUCUUUCAUUUCUACUCUCUCUCGACUUGAGUAGCAACCAUUUCUAUGACCAUCUCCCUAAAGAAUUGGGCCAAUUGCAUCGUUUGAGGAUCCUUCAAUUAAGCUACAACUGUCUGAAUGGGGAAAUUCCAUCAUGGCUUGGGAACUUACAGAGAGUUCGAAGGCUGGAAAUGAAAAAUAAUAACUUUACAGGCACAAUCCCUGAAACACUUGUUAACAUGUAUAAUCUAGAGAUCUUGAACUUGGGAUUCAAUCAAUUAUCUGGUCAAGUUCCAUCUUCCAUCUUCAAGAUUUCUUAUCUGAAGAUUAUUGAUCUCUCCAGCAAUAGCCUCUCAGGUAGUUUGCCUAAUGAUAUGUGUCAACAUCUUCCCAAGCUUGAAGGGCUUCACUUGAGUUGGAAUGAAUUAUCCGGUAACAUUCCAUUUGGCAUGGGCAAAUGCAACAACCUUAAAAUUUUGUUGUUGUCCUAUAAUCAAUUUAUGGGGAUCAUUCCAAGAACUAUUGGAAAUCUAACACGACUCCAAAAAUUAUAUUUGGUGUUUAAUAAUCUAAAAGGUAAUCAAUUUCCUUGAUUUCUUGAAUUUAAAGUAUUUUUUAUAAAAGAGUUUGAUUUGUAAUAGAUAACAAAAGGAAAAACUUUUUAUUUCAUUUGAUGAAAAACAUAUGCUGAAAUAUAUUAAAAUCUAACAUCUCCAAAUUCUUGUAGAACAGAACAAAAAAAACCUCUUUGACUUAUGCUAACAAAAUAGGUAGUUUGACACCUUGAUUUUUCGACUUUGUGUGCAGGUCAAAUUCCUAAGGAAAUCGGUAAUCUUCUUGGUUUGGAGCCGCUUUAUAUUAAAGCAAAUAAAGGCCUUAUAGGUCAGAUUCCAACUUCGAUCUUCAACAUUUCUUCUCUGAAGACCAUUGUUCUCUCCAAAAAUAGCCUAUCAGGUAGUUUGCCUAAUGAUCUUCCCAAGCUUGAAGUGUUUUACUUAGAAGAUAUUGAAUUUUCUUUGUUUCUUUAAUUUAAAAUAUUUUUUUCAUGGAAGAGUUUGAUUUGUAAUAGAUAACAAAAGUAAGAGCAUUUUAUUUCAUUCAAGGCAAAAUAGUUAAUUUGAUGGAAAAAAUAUGCUUAAAGUAUUUUUAGUUGAACAGUUUAGAAGGUAUGUUUUUCACUUCAAUUUUCGACUAUGUGUGCAGGUCAGAUUCCAUCAAGUAUUUUUAAUUCAACUAUGGCCGAACUAAUAAGUCUAUAUGGCAACAAAUUAGAAGGUAUGUUUUUCACUUUAAUUUUUUCCAAACUCCAAAAACAUUGUGUUGAAUUUGUUUCUUCUAUUUAUGUCAUAUACUUUUAUCAUUUUAAUCUGAUAAUAAACAAUAAGAUUUAUAUGAAUUGAUUUAUUUUUAAUUUUUUAAUUUCCAUUAAACUUUCAAAAAUAAAUUAUUUGAGGGUACUUUAGUUUUUUUAAUAUAAGUUAUAUUAUUUGAGGGUACUUUAGUUUUUUAUUUUAAAAAAAUUAUGGUGAUAUUUGAAUCCACAUCAAUACAUAAAACCUUAAAUUUAUCACUCACAAAUUAACUCGACACCAACUUAGGAAUUGACAACAACAUCAUCAUUAUAUAUUUUUUCAAAUAAUUUUUUUAAUAGAAUCAAAAUUGUUAUUUAUAAGGAUGCUAAAUUUUCUUAUGAAGUAAAUUUAUUUAACCAAAUAUUUUAGUAAAACCAAAAUUCUUAUCCAUACAUAUGAUAAAUCUUAAAAGUACUAAAAAAAUAUUUAAAAUAAUAAAUUCAAUAAUAUAGUAAACAACAAAGACUGUAUAAUUAUCAGUUCAAAUGUUUCUCAAAAUCCAUACAUGGAUAUAUAUUAUAGAUAUAUUUUUAAUGGCUUAAUGCAAAGUUUAUUCCCUACAGCAUAUUGCUCUUUUUUUUUUUUUUAACUUUGGUCCUUAAUGUUUUUUGGCCCACUUUAGUACCUAAUAUUAUCAAACAUUCCUAGUGUAGUCUCUAACGUUAUCAUGUGUUCUUGGAUUAGUCCAUUGGAUGUUAAAAAAAUAGAUUGAGAUAUCCAACUAACCAUAAAUUGCCAUGUGGCAUGUGAUGACAUCAUGAUGUCAUCAUCAUCUAGAAAAAGAAAACCAAAAAAAUCUUUAAAAUUAAAAUUAAAAUUAUUAAAAAUAACUACAUUAUAAAUAUAUAAUUGUUUUAAAAAAUAAAAUUUAUUAAUGUUUAAAUUUGUAAUAAAUAAUAAAAUUAUUAAAAAUUGUUAGAAAUUUUUAAAUAUUGUAAAAAUUAUAAAAAUUAUUAGAAAUUAUAAAAGACGAUAAAAAUUUAAAAAAAAGUUAAAAACUAGUAAAAAUUAUGUAACUUGAAAUAAAGUAUAUAUUCGCUAAUAUUUUAAAAAGAUUAAAAAUUUGAUAUUAAAAUUGUAUAUUGUGGUACAAUCAAUUUUUAUAAAAAAUAUUUUAAUAAAUUUUUAAUAUUUUAAAAUAUAUCAAAAUUUAGUACUUUACCAACUCCCCAAUUCAUAAAUAGGAGGAUAAUGUAAUUCAGCAUACUUGAACUCACAUUCUCUUACAUUGGCAACAAUGCACAUGACAAUCAAGCUAAGACUCAAUCGACAAUUCUUUAGAAUAAUUAAACAUGCAACAAUAGUUCUUAAGAUAUUGGUCUAGACACAAAUAAUUUAUCUUGAAAUAGUAAAACAAUAUUUGGAACAAUUAAAAACAUAGAUAUCAAGUUUAUUUUAAUUUUCAAAAUGCCAUACUAACACAAAAACUUUUUAAUAGUGUUAAUAAAUGAACCUAAAAUUUUAAAUUCAAAAAGUAGAGAGACUAAAUCACAGAAAAUAAAAAAUAUAAAGAUUAAAUUUCAAAUAUAUGAAAAAUACAAAAAUUUUGAGCAAAUAAUAAUCUUUAAAUUUUACAGUAUAAUUUAAUAAAAUAAAUAAUUAACCCAAUAGAUAAAAAUCGUACCAAUUUACAUUAAAAACAAUGGCUUUAACAUUUUUGUUUCCCAAAUCAUAACUAAUUAUUAUUCAGUGUCAGUAUCAUUUUUAAGAUUGAUUAGAUGCCACAUUCUUAUGCCAGACUUUUAUUUUUAUUUUAUUUCAAGUUUUACAAUAUUUUAAAAAAUUAUUAGUGUAUUAUAUGUUUUGUCUAUACAAAUCACAAGGACUAAUUACUACUCAAAACUUCUUAUUAUGUCUCAACUUUCUAAUUGAUUUCAUCACAUUUCCAUGCCAAAAUUUUAUUCUUAAUUGAGUUAAAGUUUUACAGUUUUUAUUUUAAUGUAUUAUAUAUUUUGUGAAUUUGGUAUUCAAUGACUAUGUAUACUAAAAGAUGCUAUUUUACAGGUAAUUUACCACCCAUCACCAAUGCUCCAAAGCUUGAGAUUCUUUUAUUGUGGGGAAAUAAACUCAGCGGAAACAUUCCCAACUCUAUCUCCAAUGCUUCCAUGCUUCAGAUUAUAGACUUGGACCAAAACUUAUUCUCUGGCCCAAUCCCUAAAAUGCUUGGCAGCUUAAAACACCUUGAAGUGCUCCAAAUCCCUGACAAUAAUUUGAUCACAGGAUCUGCUACUGAUCAUGAGUGGAGCUUUCUUUCUUCUUUGACGAAUUGUAGGAAUUUGAGCGUAAUAGAUGUUUCAGGAAAUCCAUUGAGUGGCGUUCUUCCUACUUAUAUCGGGAACUUUUCAAAAUCCCUUCAAUACUUUUAUGCCUCUAAUUGUGAGCUUCAAGGCAUUAUUCCUAUGGAAAUAGGUAACUUAAGCAACAUGCUGGUUUUAGAACUUGGCUUUAAUAAAUUAAGUGGAUUCAUUCCGACAUCAAUAGGAGGACUGCGAAAUCUCCAAAGUCUAGGUCUUUCCUCUAAUAAAUUAGGAGGGCCCAUCUCAGAAAGCCUUUGUGAUUUGGAGAGAUUAUACAAUUUUUUUUAGGGUUGAAUAAGCUGCAUGGAUCCAUACCAUCUUGUUUGGGUAAUAUUACUUCUUUGGGAUAUCUUUACUUAUAUUCCAACAGAUUGAGUUCUACAAUACCCUCAACUUUGUGGAAUCUUAAAGAUAUCUUAGAAAUAGAUUUAUCAUCAAACCAUCUUCACAAUUCACAUGCUAUUGAUGUUGGAAAUUUGAGGAGUCUACUGAAACUAAAUUUAUCAAGGAAUCUUCUCACGGGUGAUCUCUUAUCCACAUUUGGGGGUCUUCAAACUUUGGUUUCAUUAGAUUUAUCAAAUAAUAUACUACAUGGUCAUAUCCCUGAAUCAUUUGAUAGGUUGAUUAGUUUGGAAUUCUUGGAUUUAUGCAAUAACAAUCUCUCUAGAGCCAUUCCCAAAUCUUUGGAAAAGCUUUCACAUCUAAAGUAUUUUAAUGUGUCUUUCAAUAGACUGGAAGGGGAAAUUCCCAGCAAAGGAUGUUUUUCAAACUUUUCUAGCACAUCAUUCAUGAAGAAUUAUGCACUUUGUGGUCCACCUAAAUUGCUAGUUCCACCUUGCAAAAAUGACAUCCGCAAAAACUCCCAAAUGAUUAUAUUGCAUGCUUUUAGGUAUGGUUUACCAACAAUUGGUAUUGUCGUAGUACUAAUAGUCUUAACUAUUAUGUAUAGAAGAUGCCAAAGGAG
rnacentral:lncRNA from 1 species